rnacentral:lncRNA from 1 species
GCGCGGGCUGUGGGACGCCGUCACCACGGGAACAACGGACUUCCACAACGACCGCAUGGCGCUGGAGGCAGUCCUCCGGGCGGUGCCGCCAGAGAUGCUCGCCGUUCUCUCCACGAAGGAGACGGCGAGGGAAGCCUGGGACGCCGUCAAGACCAUGCGGAUGGGCUCGGCCGCUGUGCGCGAGGCCAGGGCGCAGAGCCUCCGCCGAGAAUUCGAGGACAUCCACUUCAAACCCGGUGAGAACGUCGACGACUUCGCCAUGCGACUUACUGGGCUCGUGAACAACCUCUCGAUCCACGGCGACCCUGUCGGAGAUGGGCCCGUCAUGCGCAAGUUCCUUCGCGUUGUGCCUCGCAGGUACGCCCAGGUCGCGCUCUCCAUCGAGACCCUGGUCGACCUCGACACCGUGACGGUGGAAGAGCUCACCGGCCGUCUCAAGGUGGCGGAGGAUCGCUUCGAUCGCAAUGGCGAUGGCGAAGGCGGUGCCCACCUCCUGCUGACCAUGGAGGAGUGGCGCGCGCGUGAAAAGGGCCUGGCCGCCAACGGCGCCAACGGCAGCAACUCAUCUGGCUCACCAGGGCGCGGGCGAGGACGGGGCCAUGGGCGCGGUCGUGGCGGUGGACGCGGCGGGAGAGGCAAGUCUCCUACCGGCACGGAGUCUGGCGGCGCAAAGGGAGCAGACGCAGACCGUGACAAGUGUCACUACUGUAGCAUCCCUGGCCAUGGGGCCCGCGAUUGCCGCAAGAAGAAACGCGAGGAGGACCAGGCUCUCCUCGCCCAGGGACAAGCGGGAGAGGACGACGAUCCCGGCCUGCUGAUGAUCGAGCAGGUCUCCCUGACGGCGACCACCUCUGAACCACCCACCAUGACGAGUCAUGAGAUCAUCCUCCUCAACGAGUCAUGCGCCCGGGCGGAGUUGCGACGCUCCCCCAACGAUGUGGAUGCAGCCUGGUAUCUUGAUACAGGCGCGUUGAACCACAUGACCGGAGACGAGGCGGCCUUCUCCGAGCUGGACAAGGGCAUCCGCGGUUCAGUCAAGUUUGGGGACGGCUCGCUCGUGCCGAUCCAUGGGCGAGGGACUGUCCUCUUCUCCAUGACUGGAGAGGAACACCGUGCACUCACCAACGUGUACUGGAUACCGUGGCUAAGGAGCAACAUCGUGUCCAUCGGCCAGCUUCAUGAGAGCGGCUGCCCCACGCACGUCGAAGCCGGGAUCAUGACGGUGCGCGAUCGACAGAAUCGUCUCCUGGCCAGAGUACCUCGCUCCCGCAACCGACUCUACAUCGCGCGACUGCGGCUCGCCGCCCCUGUUUGCCUCGCCGCGCACGCCGACGAGGAGGCAUGGCGCUGGCACGCUCGCUUCGGUCACCAACACUUCGACGGCCUCGAUAGGCUGACACGACAGGGCAUGGUGAAGGGGAUGCCCCUGAUCCACCACAUCGAGCAGGUGUGCUACGCGUGCCUGGUGGGGAAGCAGCGGAGAGCCCCCUUUCCCCAGCAGGCCAAGUACCGUGCGGCCGAGCCCCUCGAGCUGGUGCACGGUGACCUCUGCGGCUCCAUCUCACCGCCCACACCGGGCGGGAAGCGCUACUUCCUGCUGCUCGUUGAUGACCACAACAGAUUUAUGUGGCUGUACCUGCUUCGGAGCAAGGACGAGGCAGCCGAGGCAAUCCAAACCUUCCAGGCGCACGCGGAGCGCGAGACGGGACGCAAGCUCAAAACGUUUCGCUCCGACCGAGGCGGGGAGUUCAACUCGGCAGAGUUCAGCUCACACCUAGCCGAGCUUGGAGUUCAACGACAUCUCACUGCACCAUACACACCGCAGCAGAACGGCGUGGUAGAGAGGCGGAAUCAUACUGUCGUCGGGACGGCCAGGUGCAUGCUCAAGGGGAUGGGAGUGCCACCGCAGUUCUGGGGCGAGGCCGUGACGACGGCCGUCUUCGUGCUCAAUAGGGCAUACUCCAGGAGCGUCACGGGGAAGACUCCGUUCGAAGCCUGGCACGGCAGGAAGCCCUCCGUCGACUUCUUGCGCGUGUUCGGCUGUGUGGCACACGCCAAGGAAACACGGCCACAUCUAUCGAAGCUUGAAGACAGGAGCAAGGCUAUGGUGCUGCUCGGCUACGAACCCGGGAGCAAAGCCUACCGCCUCUAUGACCCCGUGGGCAAGCGCGUCCACGUCUCUCGUGACGUCGUGUUCGACGAGACACGAGCAUGGGAGUGGGAGAAGAAGGACGCCACGGCAAUAGACGCCGGUUUCGUCAUCGAGAUGAUUGCACCCCUUGCAAGUGUCUGCUCGUCUACACCACCGGAAGCGGCUCCAUCAGUCGCCACUGCACCUCCCUCUGCUGAGAAAGGUCCCGCACCAGCAGGGACAGAAGAAGACGGUGCUGUUGCGCUAGCUACAGACCCUGACGCUGCAACUGGGAGCACGGCGGGCAUAGCAGAAGAGCGUGCACUUCCUGCGCGCACCAGGGCCAACCCUGCGCCGCCGCAUCCGAUGAGGACACGAGGAAGAGACGGCAUCUUCCUCCCCAACCCCCGCUACAUGAGUACGCCGGAGAGAGCAGCGUGGAGCGGGCUGCUGGCUGGACUGGAGGAACCCAGCGGGGCUGAUGCUGACAUCGACGAUGAUGAACUCAUGGACGAGCUGCACCUGGCACUUGGGGAAGAACCUGGCUCCUUCCAAGAAGCAGAAACUGAGGCAUGCUGGCGACAGGCGAUGUUGGAGGAGAUGAAAUCCAUCGAGGCGAACAACACUUGGGACCUCGUUGAUCCACCUGCUGGCCAUCGUACGGCCUCAAGUGGGUGUUUAAGGUCAAGAAGGACGCCAAUGGAGAAGUGGUGAAGCACAAAGCAAGGCUGGUGGCGAAGGGAUACGUGCAGAAGCACGGCGUGGACUAUGAUGAGGUUUUCGCGCCUGUGGCUAGGCUCGAGUCUGUCCGCCUCCUGCUCGCUUUGGCUGCUCGAGCCGGAUGGACGGUGCACCACAUGGACGUGAAGUCGGCCUUCCUCAACGGCGAUCUGGAGGAAGAGGUCUACGUUGCUCAGCCACCAGGCUUCACUGCUGCCGGCAAGGAUACCAAGGUGCUCAAGCUCAGGAAACCGUUGUAUGGGCUGAAACAAGCCCUCGCGCCUGGAACGCCAAGCUAGACGCAAGCCUGGCCUCACUAGGGUUCGCAAGGUGCCCCUCGGAGCACGCUGUCUAUGCCAGAGGGACUGCGAGCUCUCGUCUGGUGGUCGGCGUCUACGUCGACGAUCUAAUCAUCACGGGAAUCGACGAAGAAGAGAUCGCGGGAUUCAAGAAGGAGAUGCAGACACUCUUUGACAUGAGCGACCUGGGACGGCUCCACUACUACCUCAGGAUCGAGGUGAGGCAGCACGGCGGCGGCAUCGAUCUCGGCCAGGUUGCGUACGCUGCCAAGAUCCUCCACAAGGCAGACAUGACGGGGUGCAAUCCUUGUCACAUGCCCAUGGAGCCGAGGUUCAAGCUCAGCAAGGUGAGCACGGCGAGGCUAGUGGAUGCUACAGAAUACCGGAGCAUCGUAGGCAUGCUUCGCUACCUCAUCCACACCAGGCCGGACCUAGCAUUCUCCGUUGGGUAUGUGUCGCGGUUUAUGCAGGAGCCGACGACAGAGCACAUGACGGCGGUGAAGCACAUCCUGCGCUAUGUUGCUGGAACCUUGCAUUGGGGAGUGCAUUACACCCGCGGUGAACACGGAGCUCCACUGAUCGGCUACAGCGACAGUGAUCUGGGGGGCGACGUGGACAGUCGUAGGAGCACCACCGGAGUUGUGUUCUUCCUGGGAAGCAAUCCGGUAAGCUGGCAGUCACAGAAGCAGAGAGUGGUGGCCCUCUCUUCGUGUGAAUCAGAAUACAUGGCGGCCACCACUGCCGCCUGUCAGGGAAUUUGGCUGGCUCGGUUGCUAGGAGAGAUCAAGGAUGAAGAACAGAAGGCCGCCGUGCUCAACGUCGACAACAAAUCAGCUAUUUCACUGAGUAAGAACCCUGUCUUCCAUGACCGAAGCAAGCAUAUAGAAAUCAGGUAUCACUUUAUUCGGGAGUGCGUGGAGGAUGGGAAGAUUCAGAUCGAGUUCGUUCGAUCUGAGGAGCAACUCGCUGAUGUGUUAACCAAGGCAUUGGGACGAGUUAAACAUCAGGUGCAGCGAGCAAAGAUUGGGAUGGUGGAGCUCAACGAAGCACACAAGGUUUAGGGAGUGAUUGUGGACUUAAACCUCAUGUGUUCGUUUCUUCAGACUGUCAGUUAGUUAGCCGUUUUUCCCUUCCGUUUGAGCUGCAAAUAACAGCUAGUUAGCUGAGUAGAUAGGUUAGUUAGGCUAGCUUGUUUUUCUCCCGUAGAAGGGGUCUAACGCCCGCAUGAACUGGAUCGUGGGAUGACGCGAUCGUGGAGGUUGUAGCGGGCGAUUUGCUCGGGCCGUUGGUGGCUCCAGGUGCGACUGUAACUGAAUAAGAGUAGUAGAGAAAUAUAGAAAAGAUGCACAUUGUUCGCAUCGCAAAACCCAGGCGUUCCUGUGUACUCUUGCGAGAGAGAGAGAGAGACUGAGAGUUGAUCCAAUCCGUGCUUACAACUAUCACCUGACCCUGAUAACAAUGAGGAGGUGAUUCCCACACCUCCCAUUGCAUCUGAAGCUGACCUCAGGUUUAGUACGCGGAAAGGCAAUGGGAUGCAGGAGAAGGUGGAGGACAAAGCUAGGACGUUGGCUUGCAAGAAAGAUCUGGAAGGUAAUCAAAACACACGUAGUAAUUCGUUUAAUGUUCUUUCAGAUGCUGAAUUAAUGCGUAGAGCUAACAUCAUGGGGGUUAUUAUUCUCGAUGAUAAUUUCGCUUGUAUUAAUGUGCUUAGAGAGAUGGAGCAAGUUAGAGAGGAGUUAGAUAUUAAGAAAAAUCUAAACUCUGAUAACCAGGGACAGGACAUAUUUGUCACUGAUGGCCUGGGACGCAUCACCCAUGUUAGUUUAGAUUGGCUAGACCAGGGCGAAGCUGUGUUUGAAGACAAAUCCGUAGUAAAAUCUAAAAAGAAAAAAAUUCAAAAACCUGUCAUUAAGAUUUCUAGGCCUGUGACUAGAAGUCAAAAUAUGAAUGGUGAUCGCGUUGAGAUGAGUUGUAACUCUACCAUGCCCCCUGGUAGAGUUAGUCGGUCGCAACUCCAUAAGAAGCAUUCCAAAUGAGAGGCCUCAUUUGGAACUGUCGGGGGGUUGGAAAGAAACGGAUGGCCACCUGCCUCACCGACCUCAUUCGUGACCAUUCUCUCGACUUUUUGGGGCUUCAGGAGACCAUGAAGAAACAUUUUUCUCCCAAAUGUCUUAGGAGGCUGGACCCCUUUGACCUCUUUAAUUGGGAAUGGAUUCCCUCUAGGGGUAGAUCGGGGGGAGGGAUUUUAUGUGGACCUAGACGUGAUGUUCUUGAUAUCAUCUCUUGCAUUAAGGGCAGAUAUAUCUUGCAGCUUAUCUUAGACGAUAAAAACAGUAAGACCGUUUGCGGUUUGCUGGUGGUGUAUGGGUCUGCUCGUGAGGAAUCUAAAGAAGAAUUCCUUGUGGAUCUUGCCUCUAUGUGUGGAAAUAUGCAAGUACCUUACGUCGUUGGGGGUGACUUUAAUAUCCUGAGACACUCCCGGGAGAAAAACAAAAAAAAUCCAAUCGCAAAUCUUUCGACCUGUUCAACUUGGUCAUCAACACUCUGACCUUGAGAGAGAUUUAUAUCAGCGGGGGUAAAUACACUUGGAAUAAUAAUCAAGCACAUCCUACACUAGAAAAACUUGACCGUAUCCUAAUGUCUGAGGCAUGCAUGGGAAGAAUUAUUUCCCUUGGUCUCAGUUAGCAAAAUAGUCCGCGAAAUCACUGAUCACAAUCCCCUGUUGCUACAUUCGGAUGAGGAAGGGAGAGAUACUCCUAAACCUCGUGAAUUCCGCUUUGACCUCUCCUGGAUCAAAGAUGAUAAAUUCUUGCCUACUGUUAACAAAAUUUGGACCAGGUUAGUGCGAUCUGUUGAUCCUAUAGACAUCCUGAACAUUAAGUUGAAAAAGAUAAAAUCCUAAUUUAAGGGAUGGUGCUCAGAUAAAUUUGGUCGUGAUAAGAAAAGAAAGUAGGAACUCAGGAAUGAGUUGGCUCUUCUGGAGGAAUUGGAAGAAGAUGGACCUCUCUCACCUGAGCUGUAUAAUAAGAAGGUGGAUGUCAAUUUUGAACUGAAUGAGCUGUUGGUAAAUGAAGAAAUUUUCUGGUUGCAACAAUCACAUGAGAGGUGGUUGCUGAAAGGAGAUCUAAAUACCAAUUACUACCAUAAAAUUGCUAACGGGCGUAAGAGAAAAAACACAAUUCAUUCCCUCAAGGUGGGAGAUGUUGUGAUUAAGGGAAAUGAAGAGCUUAUUGCACAUGCCACUGUUUCCUAUAAAGAACUCUUUGGCCCUGCCCCUGGCAAUAUGUUUCACUUAGGUCCCAACACAUGGUCGGAGGAAGAAAAGUUAAGUGACGAUGAUAAUGCAAUAAUCUGCCGUGAGUUCACACAGUCGGAGGUUAAAAGCACUCUGUUUGACAUGGCUACGAAUAGAGCCCUAGUCCUGAUAAUAUUCCUGCUGAAUUUUAUCAGGUCUAUUGGGAUAUGGUUAAAGAGGACAUUAUGUCUUUGUUUCACCACUUCCAUAAGGCGACUCUCGAUGUUAAGCGGCUCAACUAUGGUGUGAUUUCUUUGCUGCCUAAAAUUUUGGGUGCAGAUAGAAUUCAACAAUUUAGGCCUAUUUGUUUGCUUUGAUGUCCAUACAAGCUUAUCACUAAAGUGUUGGACCGGCGUGCUGGUGGUGUGGCUGAUACCCUGAUAAGUUCGACCCAAAAUGCAUUCAUGAAAGGGAGAAAUAUUAUGGAUGGGAUAUUAGCCUUGCAUGAGAUUGUUAAUCAUACUCAUGUUAAUAAAAAAGUUGGCAUUGUGUUGAAGCUUGAUUUCGAGAAAGCCUAUGACAAGGUCAAUUGGGAUUUCCUUUUGGAAUGUCAUAAGAUGAGAGGUUUCAAUGAAACAUGGUGUGGCUGGAUUAAGCAGAUCUUAUAUAAUUGUACAGUUAGUAUUAAGCUCAAUAACUAUGUGGGUCCAUAUUUCCAAAGUGCCAUGGGGGUACGGCAGGGUGAUCCCCAUUCCCCGUUCCUAUUCAAUUUAGCUGCGAGUGCCUUUCGAAAAUGAUUAAGAAUGCUCAGAAAAAUAAACUCCUUGUUGGGAUUGGUGCAUAUCUCAUUCCUGAUGGGAUUGUUGUUCUACAAUAUGCAGAUGAUACAAUCAUUUGCAUAGAACAUGAUGUGGAGAAAGUUGUUAACCUGAAGUUACUCCUAUAUAUUUCUGAAAUGAUGUCGGAUCUUAAGGUUAACUAUCAGAAAAGUGAAUUUUUUACUGUAGGGGGGAUGAUAGUGUGGUGAAAACUUAUGCUGAUCUGUUUAACUGUAAUAUUGGCAAGUUCCCAAUUAAAUAUCUUGGUAUGCAUUUUAGCUAUACCACGCUAAAGAGCUCUGAUUGGGAAUUCAUAGUGGAGAGAUAUAUGAAAUGGUUUGAGGCUUGGAUAAGCAAUGCUGCCUCCAUGGGAGGGAGACCCGCACUCCUUGAUUCUGUUAUCACGCACAUAUCCAUUUUAUCACAUGUCUAUGUGGCUCAUGAAUAAAUCAUUCAUUGAAAAGCUUGAUAAGCAUAGACGUAUAUUUUUCUGGCAGGGGAACAAUAAGAAGAGGAGACAUCAUUUGGUCAAAUGGAACAGGAUGUGCAGAUCUAAAAAUAAGGGGGGCUUGGGGGUUAAGGACCUCCGUAAACAAAAUAUUAGUUUGAUGGCUAAAUGGUGGUGGAAGUUGUAGACAGAGAAGGGGGUCUGGCAAGAUAUUAUCAAAGCUAGAUAUCUCCAAAAUAAAUCUGUGGCUACUGUUGAGCCCAGAUUCUCUAACUCACCAUGAUGGAAAGCGAUCCUAAAGGUCAAGGAAUACUAUUUUGUGGGGAGGAAAAUUAAAAUUGAGUCCGGAAAUAUUGCCAGGAUAUGGCAGGAUUCAAUUAAUGGGCUUCCCCCAUUUAAGGAUCAAUUUCCUUUACUGUUUGAUAUUUGUAAUGAACCUAAUUGCAUUGUGGAGAAUAUGCGCUCGAUGGAUGAUUAUUCCUUCUUUAGAAGAAGGUUAAACCCGGAGCUUAGAGUUCAUUGGAGAGAGAUGCAUAAUAUUAUCUCUGGUAUUGCUCUAACUCACGAUAAUUAUAGAGUGUCCUGGGGCUUGACUGGUGAUGGCAAGUUUACUACCAAAUCCAUGUAUAAGUGGUUGGAGAAACCACUUCAUGGAUGCCACUAUAAGUGGAUCUGGAAAGCAAAAUUACCCCUAAAAAUUAAAAAUUUCAUGUGGCAGUUGUCUCAAGAUGCAGUGUUGACUAGGCAUGUGAUGAAAAAAAAAUUGGCUCAGGAAUCCGAGAUGCUCCUUUUGCCGUCAAAGGGAAACUUCACAGCAUCUUUUCUUUACUUGCCCUGUUGCUAGGAUUGUGUGGAGAUCUGUAGGGGUUACUUUGAGAACUGAAUGCUGCCCCAAUUCAUAUUGGCAAUAUUUUUCCUGGUGUAAUGCUUUUUUGCCUGCUGGAGGAAAGUAUUACACGGUGGGCCUUGCGGCUGCGUGCUGGGCUAUCUGGUUGGUUCGGAACCGUGCUACAUUUGAAAAUAAAAUGAUCAAAACCCUAUUCGAAAUUGUGUUUUCAAUGUGUUCGUUCAUCUUAUAUUGGGCAGGGGCUCCAACAGGAAGGCGAUGCGGGGGAACUACGCUCUGAUGCUGAGAUGGUGAGAUCGAUCACUAUGCAGCUAAUGAAAAUGUGUGAGGCGGACAGACAAGAGAUAACAAGGGAAUGAACAACUCCGAAUCUUCGAGCAUGUUGAUGGAGACCUCCUGUAGUUUAAUAGUUAUCUUGUCUGUUUGAAUUUGGGUCUGUUUUAGUUGGUAUUUUGAUAUUCUGUGCAGUGCUAAAAUUUAUGCCAUGGCAUUCAUUUCGACGGCGAACAUAUGUUUCAUGGGUAAUCUAGCAAAUUGCCUGAGUAACUAUCGUCCAGUAUUUCUCUUUCCUGAUACUUUGUGAAACUGUUGUAUUUCCGUUCAUUGUAAUAGAAAGGGGUGUUUGCCGGCUAAAAAAUAAUCUCUCUCAAAAAAAUUGUUUUAUCGAAAAUCAAGGUAGGGCGGACAUCCUGCCUCGCCCUACUGGCUCCCCCGCCUGUGAUCCAAAUCAAGAUCCUGCAACAUCCGAAUUAUUGCGGUCAAAUGACUGCAACAAAGGCUUAGUUACAAAACCAUAAAAAUUAAUGCUAGACGAGCCCUGCAAGACACAUGUCACAUGAACGAGGCGACGGACGCCCGUAUGUCAUUCAUCGGCUGAAGCCAAGCUUUUCCCAAAGUACAUGUGGUCUAGUGGGUUCCUUUUAAAAAUAUUUUUAAAUAAAUAAUGGAUGCUAGUGUUGUACCAAAUAUAGUGUGUAUUAUAUAUUUUUAGAAUCAAAAAUACCUUCACAAAGUUAACCGGGUUUUUUAUCAACAUCUAGAAUACCGAAUAAUAUCAUAAGAUUCAUAAUGAAAUAUAGUUUUAUAUGAUAUACAUUUCAAAUUAUAGAUAUAUACAAUUUUCUCUACAAAUUUGAUUAAAGUUUAUGAAGUUGGACUCUUACGUACAUAAACCAACGCAGACUAUGUUAUGGGACAGGGGAGCACGUUGCCAGCUUGCUUGAGACGAUCAAGGGCUGAGGCUUGGUUGUGGGCGAAGGUAGGGGCCAUGAGUACUUAGAUGUAGCGUUGUAAAUCUGCGUGUGGCCUAUUUUCGGGAUGUACAUAUUUCUUCUAAAACUGCACCAAGACAGAAAGCUUCGGCUCGAAAACCGUCUUUCAAAUUUAUUAAUUUCACUAUGUGCUACAAAAUGCAAAAUUUCCAUGAAGUUUUGUGGAGGAACAAAGUACAUACUGAACCACUCUCAUGUGUGCAUCUUUAGUUUAUUUACUUGCAAAUGAUGUUUUAUUUCCGAUAUGGGAACACAUGAGCUUACCUCGCCAUUCUAGUUUUGAAAUUUGUAUUGCAUAACAGAGCCAAUUGCACAAAAUCACCACAUUUACUGUUAGGUUUACAAAAACCAUCAGAUUGUUAAUUUGUUACGAAAAACACUGCUUUUUCACUAAUGUUAUUGUAAAAAGCACUCAUGGUGUGAUUUGGCUUGUUUAAUCGAUUUCUGACAAGUGAGGCCAGAGUUUAGGAAGCUGACUCGUCAAAACAUUGACAUACAAGCCCUUGGAUGAAAAACAAAAACGCAAUCCACCCCUCCUCCCCCCGCGCGGAUGGGGCCUCUGCCCCGCGCCUCCAGUAACCUGACACCAGCGACCAGCAGGACCCUCGCGCUGCCGUCCCCUACCUUCACUUCUUCUCCUUCCGUGGCUAUUUCUCUAAAGCCCUCUCUCUCUCUCUCUCUCUCUCUCUCUCUCUAUAUAUAUAUAUAUAGAUAGAUAGAUAAAUUACCUGGGGCACCUGCCCCAGGUGCCCAGGCACCUUGUUUGGAUUUAAUCCGUUAGUGCAUUUUGUACGUAUAAAUAACCAUUAAUGCUUUUCAAAUAAUUCACUUUCCAUUUUUGCUUGCAUGCACUAGUACUCACGUCAUUGAUUGUAUAUGGAUUUUCAAAACAAAUGCAUGUCAUUGACUGCCUCUUAAUUGACUUAUUUCCUUAAUAAACAAUUAUACUUUAAUCUUGUUAGAAAUAAUCUGAACACUCGUACUUAGAUAUGUAUAUACCCAAUAAUUUAUUCUAGAUAUUAAAUACCUAUACAUGUAGUCUAAUGUAUUUUUAAGUGAAUAUACUCAAAUACCUGCAAACAAAUACUGCGUACCUUGAUGUGAAUUUUAUUUGUAAAAUACGGCUACUUAUCUACCCGACUAUAUAAAAUGUAACAACGUAUAUAACAGGUUACGUAAAAUAUGCCUAAAAUAUCAGCCCGACUACAUAAAAUAUACUCUAUGAACUCCUAGUAUACCCAUAAAUUUACACGAUACUCACAUAAAUCUUCUACUAUAUACCAAAUGUACAUAAAAGUAAAACAAUAUACCCAAUAUGUUAGUACACAUAUAUAUCCAACUACAUGGAAAAAAGUAGAAAACUAUUGUAGGUAUCUUGUUAAUGUAUAUAAAGUAAAAUAUGUUUACGUGUAUACUCGACUACGUGAAUUAUGACAUACAUAUGUAUCUGAAUACCCGGGGUAAAAAUCACACAUUUGAGGGUAUGUAGAGAAAUACGAUGGGUAUGUACACACCAAAAAAUAUAUCUUUUUUGAAUACAAGUAUAUGUUUAAUGACAUACCGGAUUAUUUUUCCAUGGAGACAAAAGGUAAUCAUACAUUUUAUACCCAAGAUGAUGAUAUACCUACGUACCUAAUUGUCUAUAUGACUUCCUAUGUUAUGUAUAAAAAAAAGUGCACGUAUAAGAACUAAAGUUGGGCACGUACCAUAGAGCAUGCAUGGCCUUAAUUAACCAUUAAUUGCUGAUUUUCUCUAUCUUUCAAGCAAUAAUUCUUUCCUAAUAAAUGCUAAUGGGUUGACCCAUUAUUGUUAAUACUAAUUACAAAUGCACGCAUCUUAAUGUAAUCCAACGAUUUCUAGGCAAGGUGCCUGGGCACCUAGGUGCCCCAAACGGGCGUCAUAUAUAUAUAUAUAUANNNNNNNNNNNNNNNNNNNNNNNNNNNNNNNNNNNNNNNNNNNNNNNNNNNNNNNNNNNNNNNNNNNNNNNNNNNNNNNNNNNNNNNNNNNNNNNNNNNNUUAUUUAUUGUCCAUACGCACUGUACAUUUUUUUGUAUAUAUGGAAACUUUUUUGUCUAUAAAUUUGAUAUUUCUUUAAUAUAUGAUUAACAUUUGUGUAAAGUUUAUCGAAAUAAAGGCAAAAGAGAAAAAAUAUAGAAAAAAUGCGAAAUAGAAGAAAAAAAGGGUUUUUUUGCCGCAACAGGGAUCGAACCUGGGUCUUCAGGGAGGGGGAGAGCACGCACCCAACCAUUUCAGCUAGCUUUGCACUUGUGAUAAAAUCCGGAAAGCAUAUCCUUUAGAAAGAGCCGAAGCGAAGUUCAAAUAACGAAUCGUUUUUGUCACUCAGGGGUGGCAUUGGUGUGUAAUUUUGGCAAACUUUAGGGGUAAAUUUAAUGACGUACCACAGAAGCAAUAUGUGCUUUAUUAGUAGGUAUAGAAUAGAUAUAUAUAGAAACUCUAUUCAUCACCCAGGGUGCAGAUUAAAUUAUUCCUCACCCGAGGUAAUUUUACGACCAUUUCAUAAAUAAAUUAAAUUUGAAAUGCAAAUAGAUAUGUUUAUAUUGAUUCACUACGAAAAAAUUGACAUAAGAAAACAAAAAUAUAGGUCAUAAGACCAGAAAAAUCAUAUUUUAUGAAUAAUUUACACUAUGUUUUUAUGUUUGUAAUUUUACGUGAUAUAAAAUAUUUUUUACGGUGACUAUGUAUUUUUUUACGGUCUCUUUUUACGUAUGAGAUAAGAUAAUAAUUUCAAAAACGUAAAAAUACAGCGUGUUGAUGUGAAAAUAGAGGGGGUGAAGAAUAACUAUUUCUCACCCAGGGUAACGAAUAGCGCGACCAUAUAUAUAUAUAUAUANNNNNNNNNNNNNNNNNNNNNNNNNNNNNNNNNNNNNNNNNNNNNNNNNNNNNNNNNNNNNNNNNNNNNNNNNNNNNNNNNNNNNNNNNNNNNNNNNNNNGGGAGAGGAUCAGUCUUUGUACCUCUCAACAGACUUUGAGUCAAGGCACACAUCAGGUGCGGUACCCAGCAUGGCAUACUUCAAAUUCUACGGCCAAGGCAUAGAAGACGACCUUCGUCUAUUCUCUUUAUUCUGCCGGGGUCGGGUUUUGAGUCUUACUCAAAUUCACACCUUACAACGCAACCAAGAACUCCUUCUUUGUUGAUCUAUUUUGAACUCCUUCAAAAACUUGUCAAGGCAUGCAUCUUGUUGAAACUUCUAUUAAGCGCUUUCGAUCUAUCUCCAUAGAUCUUUGAUGCUCAACGUUCAAGUAGCACAAUCCAGGUAUUCCUUUGAAAAACUCCUUUCAAACAACCUUGUAUGCCUUACAGAAAUUCUACAUUACUUCUGAUCCACAAUAUGUCAACCACAUAUACUUAUCAGAAAUUCUAUAGUGCUCCCACUCACUUCUUUGGAAAUACAAGUUUCUUGUAAACCUUGUACAAACCAAAAUCUUUGAUCAUCUCAUCAAAGUGUAUAUUCCAACUCCGAGAUGCUUGCACCAGUCCAUUUAAGGAUCGCUGGAGCUUGCAUACUUUCUGGUAUCUUUAGGAUCGACAAAACCUCAUGGUUGUAUCUCAUACAAUGUUUGCUCAAGGAAACCGUCGAGGAAACAAUGUUUUGACAUCCUACAUGCAAUAUUUCAUAAAUAAUGCAGCAACUAGUAACAUAAUUCUAACAGACUUUUAGCAUCGCUACGAGUGAGAAAGUCUCAUCAUAGUCAACUCUUUGAUCUUGUCGGAAACAUCUUUGCGACAAGUCGAGCUUUUCUUAAUAGUGACUUAUCACUAUCAUCGUCUGUCUUCCUUUUAAAGAUCCAUCUUUACUCAAUAGUCCUAUGACCAUCAAGCAGUUCUUCCAAAGUCUACACUUUGUUUUCAUACAUGGAUCCUCUCUCGGAUUUCAUGGCUUCCAGCCAUUUGUCGGAAUCUGGGCCCACCAUUGCUUUCUCCAUAACUCGUAGGUUCAUUGUUGCUCAACAACAUGACCUCCAAGACAGGGUUACCGUACCACUCUGUAGUAGUACGCGACCUUGUCAACCUACGAGGCUUGUAGUAACUUGAUCCGAUGCUCGAUGAUCACCAUCAUCAGCUUUCACUUCAAUUGGUGUAGGCGCCACAGGAACAACUUCCUGCGCCCUGCUACACACUGGUCGAAGUGAUGGUUCAAUAACCUCAUCAAGUUCUACCACCCUCCCACUCAAUUCUUUCGAGAGAAACCUUUCCUCGAGAAAGGAUCCGUUUCUAGAAACAAACACUUUGCUUUCGGAUCUGAGAUAGGAGAUGUACCCAACUGUUUUGGCUAUCCUAUGAAGAUGCAUUUAUCCGCUUUGGGUUCGAGCUUAUCAGACUGAAACUUUUUCACAUAAGUGUCGAAACCCCAAACUUUCAAGAAACGACAGUUUAGAUUUCUCUAAACCUCAGUCUAUACUGUGUCAUCUCAACGGAAAUACGUGGUGCCCUAUUUAAAGUGAAUGUGGUUGUCUCUAAUGCUUAACCCAUAAACGAUAGUGGUAAUCCGAUAAGAGACAUCAUAGCAUGCACCAUACCAAAUAGUGUGUGGCUAUGACGUUCAGACACAUCAUCACACUAUGAUGUUCUAGGUGGCAUGAACCGCGAAACAAUUUCCACAUUGUCUUAACUGCGUACCAAAACUCGUAACUCAGAUACUCAUUUCUAUGAUCAUAUCGUAGACAGUUUAUCCUCUUGUUACGACGAACUUCACUCCAAAACAAAAUUGAACUUUUCAAUAUUUCAGACUUGUGAUUCAUUAAGCAAAUACUCUAGUAUCUACUCAAAUCGUCAUUGAAGUAAGAACAUAAUGAUAUCCACUGCGUGCCUCAGCACCCAUUGGACUGCAUACAUCAAAAUGUAUCACUUCCAACAAGUUACUAUCUUAUUUCAUCUCAAUGAAAACAAGGCCUUGCUCAUGUGGUAUGAUUUGCAUGUCACUAGUGAUUCAAAAUCAAGUGAGUAUAAAGAUCCAUCAGCAUGGAGCCUCUUCAUGCAAUUUAUACCAAGAUGACUCAAGCGGCAGUGCCACAAGUAAGUGGUACUAUCAUCAUUACCUCGUAUCUUUUGGCACCAAUAUCAUGAACAUGUGUAACACUACGAUCGAGAUUCAAUAAACCAUUGAAGGUGAUUAUUCAAGAAAAUAGAGUAACCAUUAUUCUCUUUAAAUGAAUAAUCGUAUUGCAAUAAACACGAUCCAAUCAUGUUCAUGCUUAACGCAAGCACCAAAUAACAAUUAUUUAGGUUUAACACCAAUCCCGAUGGUAGAGGGAGCGUGCGACGUUUGAUCAUAUCAACCUUGGAAACACUUCCAACACGUAUCGUCACCUCGCCUUUAGCUAGUCUCCGUUUAUGCCGUAGCUUUCAUUUCGUGUUACUAAUCACUUAGCAACCGAACCGGUAUCCAAUACCCUCAUGCUACUAGGAGUACUAGUAAAGUACACAUCAACAUCAUGUAUAUCAAAUAUACUUCUUUCGAAUUUUGCCAGCCUUCUUAUCUACCAAGUAUCUAGAGUUGCUCCGCCUCAGUGACUGUUCCCCUCAUUACAGAAGCACUUAGUCUCGGGUUUGGGUUUAAUCUUGGGUCUCUUCAUUAGUGCAGCAACUGUUUUGCCGUUUCACGAAGUAUCCCUUCUAGCCCUUGCCUUUCUUGAAACUUAGUGGUUUUACAAACCAUCAACUAUUGAUGCUCCUUCUUGAUUUCUACUUUCGCAGUGUCAAACAUCGCGAGUCGCUCAAGGAUCAUUGUAUCUAUCCUUGAUAUGUUAUAGUUCAUCACGAAGCUCUCACAGCUUGGUGGCAGUGACUUUGGAGAACCAUCACUAUCUCAUCUGGAAGAUUAACUCCCACUUGAUUCAAGUGAUUGUCGUACUCAGACAAUCUGAGCACACGCUCAACGAUUGAGCUUUUCUCCUUUACUUUGUGGACAAAGAAUCUUGUCGGAGGUCUCGUACCUCUCAAAAAGGGCACGAGCAUGAAAUCACAAUUUCAUCUCUUUAGAACAUCACUUAUGUUCCUUGACGUUUCAAAACGUCUUCGGUGCCUUGCUUCUAAGCCAUUAAGUAUUUUGCACUGAACUAUCGUGUAGUCAUCAGAAACGUGUAUGUCGGAUGUUCACAGCAUCCACAGACGACGCUCGAGGUGCAACACACCGAGUGGUGCAUUAAGGACAUAAGCCUUCUGCGCAGCAACGAGGACAAUCCUCUUCAAAGUUUGCUACUAUCAACUUUCAACUAAAUUUUCUCUAGGAACAUAUAAAAAUAGUAGAGCUAUAGCGCAACCUACAUCAUAAUUCGCAAAGACCAUUAGACUAUGUUCAUGACAAUUAGUUCAGUUAAUCAUAUUACUUAAGAACUCCCACUCAAAAAGUACAUCUCUCUAGUCAUUUGAGUGGUACAUGAUCCAAAUCCACUAUCUCAAGUCCGAUCAUCACGUGAGUCGAGAAUAGUUUCAGUGGUAAGCAUCUCUAUGCUAAUCAUAUCAACUAUACGAUUCAUGCUCGACCUUUCGGUCUCAUGUGUUCCGAGGCCAUGUCUGCACAUGCUAGGCUCGUCAAGCUUAACCCGAGUGUUCUGCGUGUGCAACUGUUUUGCACCCGUUGUAUGUCAAUGUUGAGUCUAUCACACCCGAUCAUCACGUGGUGUCUCGAAACGAAGAACUGUCGCAACGGUGCACAGUCGGGGAGAACACAAUUUCGUCUUGAAAUUUUAGUGAGAGAUCACCUCAUAAUGCUACCGUCGUUCUAAGCAAGAUAAGGUGCAAAAAGGAUUAACAUCACAUGCAAUUCAUAAGUGACAUGAUAUGGCCAUCAUCAUGCGCUUCUUGAUCUCCAUCACCAAAGCACCGGCACGAUCUUCUUGUCACCGGCGUCACACCAUGAUCUCCAUCAACGUGUCACCAUCGGGGUUGUCGUGCUACUCAUGCUAUUACUACUAAAGCUACGUCCUAGCAAUAUAGUAAACACAUCUGCAAGCACAAACGUUAGUUUAAAGACAACCCUAUGGCUCCUGCCGGUUGCCGUACCAUCGACGUGCAAGUCGAUAUUAACUAUUACAACAUGAUCAUCUCAUACAUCCAAUAUAUCACAUCACAUCGUUGGCCAUAUCACAUCACAAGCAUACCCUGCAAAAACAAGUUAGACGUCCUCUAAUUUUGUUGUUGCAUGUUUUACUGGUGACCAUGGGUAUCUAGUAGGAUCGCAUCUUACUUACGUAAACACCACAACGGAGAUAUAUGAAUUGCUAUUUAACCUCAUCCAAGGACCUCCUCGGUCAAUUCUGAUUCAACUAAAGUUGGAGAAACUGACACCCGCCAGUCAUCUUUGAGCAACGGAGUUACUCGUAGCGAUGAAACCGGUCUCUCGUAAGUGUACGAGUAAUGUCGGUCCGAGCCGCUUCGAUCCAACAAUACCGCGGAAUCAAGAAAAGACUAAGGAGGGCAGCAAAACGCACAUCACCGCCCACAAAAACUUUUGUGUUCUACUCGAGAAGACAUCUACGCAUGAACCUAGCUCAUGAUGCCACUGUUGGGGAACGUCGCAUGGGAAACAAAAAAUUUCCUACGCGCACGAAGACCUAUCAUGGUGAUGUCCAUCUACGAGAGGGGAUGUCCGAUCUACGUACCCUUGUAGACCACACAGCAGAAGCGUUAGUGAACGCGGUUGAUGUAGUGGAACGUCCUCACGUCCCUCGAUCCGCCCCGCGAACCGUCCCGCGAUCAGUCCCACGAUCUAGUGCCGAACGGACGGCACCUCCGCGUUCAGCACACGUACAGCUCGACGAUGAUCUCGGCCUUCUUGAUCCAGCAAGAGAGACGGAGAGGUAGAAGAGUUCUCCGGCAGCGUGACGGCACUCCGUAGGUUGGUGAUGAUCUUAUCUCAGCAGGGCUCCGCCCGAGCUCCGCAGAAACGCGAUCUAGAGGUGAAACCGUGGAGAUAUGUGGUCGGGCUGCCGUGGCAAAAGUUGUCUCAAAUCAGCCCUAAUACCACAGUAUAUAUAGGAGGGAGGGGAAGGGAAGAGGCAGCCUCAAACCCUCAAGGUUUGGCCGAAAUUGGAGGUGGAGGAGUCCUACUCCAAUCCUACUUGGAGUAGGAUUCCACCUUCCCACUUGGAAACUCUUUCCACCUUGUGUUUUUUCCUUCUGAAACCUUAUGGGCCUUAGUGGGAACUUAUUCCAGCCCACUAGGGGCUGGUUUAUCUCUUCCCAUAGCCCAUGAGACCCCUUGGGGCGUGACACCCCUCCCGAUGGUCCCCAGCACCCCUCCUGGCACUCCCGGUACACUACCGAUGAGCCCGAAACUUUUCCGAUGACCAAAACUGGACUUCCUAUAUAUCAAUAUUUACCUCCGGACCAUUCCGGAGCUCCUCGUGAUGUACUGGAUCUCAUCCGGGACUCCGAACAACAUUCGGUAACCAACCAUAUAACUCAAAUACGCAUAAAACAACGUCGAACCUUAAGUGUGCAGACCCUGCGGGUUCGAGAACUAUGUAGACAUGACUCGAGUGACUCCUCGGUCAAUAUCCAAUAGCGGGACCUGGAUGCCCAUAUUGGAUCCCACAUAUUCUACGAAGAUCUUAUCGUUUGAACCUCAGUGCCAAGGAUUCAUAUAAUCCCGUAUGUCAUUCCCUUUGUCCUUCGGUAUGUUACUUGCCCGAGAUUCGAUCGUCAGUAUCCGCAUACCUAUUUCAAUCUCGUUUACCGGCAAGUCUCUUUACUCGUUCCGUAAUACAAGAUCCCGCAACUUACACUAAGUCACAUUGCGUGCAAGGCUUGUGUGUGAUGUUGUAUUACCGAGUGGGCCCCGAGAUACCUCUCCGUCACAUGGAGUGACAAAUCCCAGUNNNNNNNNNNNNNNNNNNNNNNNNNNNNNNNNNNNNNNNNNNNNNNNNNNNNNNNNNNNNNNNNNNNNNNNNNNNNNNNNNNNNNNNNNNNNNNNNNNNNNNNNNNNNNNNNNNNNNNNNNNNNNNNNNNNNNNNNNNNNNNNNNNNNNNNNNNNNNNNNNNNNNNNNNNNNNNNNNNNNNNNNNNNNNNNNNNNNNNNNNNNNNNNNNNNNNNNNNNNNNNNNNNNNNNNNNNNNNNNNNNNNNNNNNNNNNNNNNNNNNNNNNNNNNNNNNNNNNNNNNNNNNNNNNNNNNNNNNNNNNNNNNNNNNNNNNNNNNNNNNNNNNNNNNNNNNNNNNNNNNNNNNNNNNNNNNNNNNNNNAUUCCUCCGGUGUCAGUGAGUUAUAUGAUCUCAUGGUCAUAGGAACAAAUACUUGACACGCAGAAAACAGUAGCAACAAAAUGACACGAUCAACAUGCUACGUCUAUUAGUUUGGGUCUGGUCCAUCACAUGAUUCUCCUAAUGAUGUGAUCCCGUUUAUCAAAUGACAACACUUGCCUAUGGUCAGGAAACCUUGACCAUCUUUGAUCAACGAGCUAGUCAACUAGAGGCUUACUAGGGACAGUGUUUUGUCUAUGUAUCCACACAAGUAUUGUGUUUCCAAUCAAUACAAUUAUAGCAUGGAUAAUAAACAAUUAUCAUGAACUAAGAAAUAUAAUAAUAACUAAUUUAUUAUUGCCUCUAGGGCAUAUUUCCAACAGCAAGCUCCAGCGCUCCAUCUAUGGGCUGGUGCAACCAUCUCGGAGUUGGAACAUUCGCUUUAAUGAGGUGAUUAAAGCGUUUGGGUUCAUACAGGUUUACGGAGAAGCCUGUCUGUACAAGAAAGUGAGUGGGAGCUCUGUAGCUUUCCUCAUACUGUAUGUGGAUGACAUAUUAUUGAUGGGGAAUAAUAUAGAGAUGUUGGAGAGCAUAAAGGCCUAUUUGAACAAGAGUUUUUCAAUGAAGGACCUUGGAGAAGCUGCAUACAUAUUAGGCAUCAAGAUCUAUAGAGAUAGAUCAAGACGCCUCAUAGGUCUUUCGCAAAGUACAUACCUUGACAAGAUAUUGAAGAAGUUCAAUAUGGAAAACUCAAAGAAAGGGUUCUUGCCAGUUUUGCAAGGCAUGAGAUUGAGUAAGACUCAGUCGCCGACCACGGCAGCAGAUAGAGAGAAGAUGAGUUAUGUCCCCUACGCUUCAGCCGUGGGCUCUCUAAUGUAUGCCAUGCUGUGUACCAGACCUGAUAUAAACCUUGCCAUAAGUUUGGUAGGGAGGUACCAAAGUGAUCCAGGUAUGGAACACUGGACAGCGGUCAAGAAUAUCCUCAAGUACCUGAAAAGGACUAAGGAAAUGUUUCUCGUUUAUGGAGGUGACGAAGAGCUCGUCGUAAAGGGUUACGUCGCCGCUAGCUUCGACACAGAUCCGGAUGACUCUAAGUCACAGACCGGAUACGUAUAUGCGUUGAAUGGUGGGGCAGUGAGCUGGUGCAGCAGCAAGCAAGAAGUCGUGGCAGCAUCUACAUGUGAAGCGGAGUACAUAGUUGCUUCAGAAGCAGCUCAUGAAGGAAUUUGGAUGAAGGAGAUCAUCACCGACCUUGGAGUGGUUCCAAGCGCGUCGGGUCCAAUGACACUCUUCUGUGAUAACACUGGGGCCAUUGCCAUAGCCAAGGAGCCCAGGUUUCACCGGAAGACGAAGCACAUCAAACGCCGCUACAACUCUAUCCAGGACCAUGUCCAGAGUGGAGUGAUAGAUAUUUGUAAAGUACACACGGAUCUGAAUAUUGCAGACCCGUUGACUAAAACCUCUUCCACGAACAAAACAUGAUCAACACCAUAAUGCUAUGGGUGUUCGAUACAUCACAAUGUAACUAGAUUAUUAACUCUAGUGCAAGUGGGAGACUGUUGGAAAUAUGCCCUAGAGGCAAUAAUAAAAUGGUUAUUAUCAUAUUUCCUUGCUCAUGAUAAUCGUCUAUAGUUCAUGCUAUAAUUGUAUUAACAGGAAACAGUAAUACAUGUGUGAAUAAAUAGAUCACAAUGUGUCCCUAGCAAGCCUCUAGUUGGCUAGCUCGUUAGUCAAUAGAUGAUCAUGGUUUCCUGAUCAUGGGCAUUAGAUGUCAUUGAUAACGGGAUCACAUCAUUAGGAGAAUGAUGUGAUGGACAAGACCCAAUCCUAAGCAUAGCACUAGAUCGUAUUGUUCGUAUGCUAAAGCUUUUAUAAUGUCAAGUAUCUUUUCCUUCGACCGUGAGAUUGUGCAACUCCCGGAUACCGUAGGAGUGCUUUGGGUGUAUCAAACGUCACAACGUAACUGGGUGACUAUAAAGUUGCACUACGGGUACCUCCGUAAGUGUCUGUUGGGUUGGUACGAAUCGAGAUCGGGAUUUGUCACUCCGUGUGACGGAGAGGUAUCUCUGGGCCCACUCGGUAGAACAUCAUCAUGAGCUCAAUGUGACUAAGGAGUUAGUCACACGAUGACGUGCUACGGAACGAGUAAAGAGACUUACCGGUAACGAGAUUGAACAAGGUAUAGGUAUACCGACGAUCGAAUCUCGGGCAAGUUCUAUACCGACAGACAAAGGGAAUCGUAUACGGGAUUGAUUGAAUCCUUGACAUCGUGGUUCAUCUGAUGAGAUCAUCGUGGAGCAAGUGGGAGCCACCAUGGGUAUCCAGACCCCGCUGAUGGUUAUUGGCCAGAGAGGUGUCUCGGUCAUGUCUGCCUGUCUCCCGAACCCGUAGGGUCUACACACUUAAGGUUCGAUGACUCUAGGGUUAUAGGGAAUUGUUAUACGAGGUUACCGAAAGAUGUUCGGAGUCCCGGAUGAGAUUCCGGACGUCACGAGGAGCACCGGAAUGGUCCGGAGGUAAAGAUUGAUAUAUAGGACGGAUGGUUUCGGAUACCGGAAGUGUUUCGGGCAUCACCGGUAACGUACCGGGACCACCGGGACCACCGGAGGUGGCCCCGGGGGACCAUCGAAGGGGGGCAACGACCCCGGGAGGUAAGGUGGGCCAAGUGGGGGUGGGAACCAGCCCCUAGGUGGGCUGGUGCGCCUCCCCACUCAGCCCAUUGCGCAAGGGGGAGAAAAGGGGGGGCAAACCCUAAGCCAGGUGGGCCUAAGGCCCACCAGUUGGUGCGCCACCCCUCCUCCCCCUUCUGGCUGCCGCACCUCCCAUCUGGGGGGGCUGCCGCACCCCCUAGGGUGGGAACCCUAGGGGUGGCACCCCCUCUCCCCUUCCCCUAUAUAUAUUGGGCACUUUUGGCCAUUGGAGAACAGAUUUUUCCCUCUCCCUCGGCGCAGCCCUGCUCUUCUUUCUCCUCCUCUGUGCCGGUGCUUGGCGAAGCCCUGCCGGGAGACCUCGUCUCUCCCUCGACACCACGCCGUCGUGCUGCUGGAGUUCUUCCCCAACCUCUCCCUCCUCCUUGCUGGAUCAAGGUGUGGGAGACGUCACUGGGCUGCACGUGUGUUGAACGCGGAGGUGCCGUGGUUCGGCACUAGAUCGGAAUCGCUGCGACUACGACUCCAUCAACCGCGUUCUAGCAACGCUUCCGCUUAGCGAUCUUCAAAGGUAUGAAGAUGCUCUUAUCCCUCUCUCGUUGCUGGUCUCUCCAUAGGAAGAUCUGAAUAUGCGUAGGAAAAUUUUGAAUUUAUGCUACGUUAUCCAACACUAUGCACCACAAGCGUCAUUAUCCCUGUAAACUUGAUUGUUGAGUAAAAAAUCCUAGCAUCUCGUCCUAAAAAAAGCCCGGUUGUUUCAAGCAAAACAAUUUCUCUCAUCGUAUAGACCCUCUUAGUGGAAUUUUAAAACCCAAAUGAUAACGUGUGGCAUUUCAACACUUGAUCCAUACGUCCUAAUUAUUGUUGGUUCUGAAUUGCACGAACCUUGUAUGCAUAUGUUGGAAUUCCACUGCCACGUAGGCAUAGUGUGUCGUGUGGGGGGUUAGAGCGUUCGCCCAAACGGCCUUGCAUGACCCGCAACGCGCGGUUGCCAGAUUCGUACGUGUGGAUAAACCGGUCCUCGCCCACACAGACACCAUCCAAUCCAUUAGCGCACGGCUGCUCACGCCGCCGUGUGGGCAAACUCAUACAACGCUCGUACAGUGAUAGAUGACAACUGGAAUUGUGCAUAUAUGGCAACUAGUUAAUCACACAUGACAACUAUGAUUGACCAUACAUGACAACUAUGGUUGAACAACAUGUGGCAACUAGUUAAUCACACAUGGCAACUAUGACUUGACCACAUGUGGCAACUAGUUAAUCAUACAUGGCAACUAUGAUUGACCAUACAUGACAAUUAUGGUUUGAUCACCCAAGGCAACUAUCGUUAAUUAGACAUGGCAACUAUAGUUAACCAAAAUGAUAAGUACCACCCGUGUGGCACGAAAUAACACUGUCAUGGCACUUUUACAACUAAAAUUACCAUCUGGGAAAAAAUGAAAUGCAAGAAAAAAACCAAAACUUGUCAUUCAAAACAGAGAACUAAAGUUGCCAUAAAAAAUGUCAAGGCGUAAUUGCUUCUUGCCACACGUGCAAGAUGGGAAUGAGUAGUUGUUGUUGGUUCGACGUGUGGCACGAAGUAGAUGUUCUCAGGCAUGUGAGCAGUUCUAAUGUUCGUCCACACAUGAUCGUGUGGGUUGUAUUCUGGGUAAUGCCACAGAGGGUCAUGUGGUCGGAUGUCCAUUAUGACACACAUGUGGUAAAACCAGUGCAGUAGGGCUAGCCCACACUUUGCAGGACCUGACCCAGCAGGGGACUUUUUGCGGACAAAAAUGAUUGUUGCAAUCACAUGCAUAUGUUGUUACUAUAUAUAUAACAUAAACUUGUUUCUUACUUUUUACCGGGAAUAAAUAUUUUCUUACAAGACCUGUAUAAUUGAACACACAUGUCCAUGUUAACGUAGACACGAUCACCACUGUUGCGAGAACAAGGAAUCAAGGGUGCUACGGUUUCCAGGUGUGCAUGAUGAUGCUGAAACUAAAUCUGCUGCACCCACAAACAACACACGAUUGAGAUCUACGACAAAUCACCAUAACAAGAUACAUGGCAUGAGAUGCCCUGAACGCCUCCCAUACUCAUGGACUAUGGUGAGCCAUACUCAGGAGCAACUUUGCACUGCAUAGCUUUCUUCUGAUGCCUCCCAUACUCAUGGACAAUGAAACUGGGAAAAUGGAAAUGUGGAGAAACAACGAAAUACAAUGGUAGUAGUUUCAUUCACCUGUCCAUGCCUUUGGCCUUUGUUAUCCCCUUUCACCGUUUCACGCUUUCAAGGUUAUAUAAUUGGGAUUGAAAGAAUCUAGAAGGGGAAGAGAGGUAGGUGGUGGAUUAAGAGGAGUUGGUGGUACAUUGUUGGACAUUGAUGAGAGUCACUGAAGCUUUCAGGAUUUAGAAAGGACAGAAAACAAGAACAAAAAUGUGUAAAGAGUAUCAUUUUAUACUUAGGACCUUGUCACCAACAAGUCUAUUUAUGAUGGGCUCACUGACUACAAUGGCAAAUUUCCCAAGAUGGACGACAUGGCGAGCUUUGCAUAGAAGAUNNNNNNNNNNNNNNNNNNNNNNNNNNNNNNNNNNNNNNNNNNNNNNNNNNNNNNNNNNNNNNNNNNNNNNNNNNNNNNNNNNNNNNNNNNNNNNNNNNNNNNNNNNNNNNNNNNNNNNNNNNNNNNNNNNNNNNNNNNNNNNNNNNNNNNNNNNNNNNNNNNNNNNNNNNNNNNNNNNNNNNNNNNNNNNNNNNNNNNNNNNNNNNNNNNNNNNNNNNNNNNNNNNNNNNNNNNNNNNNNNNNNNNNNNNNNNNNNNNNNNNNNNNNNNNNNNNNNNNNNNNNNNNNNNNNNNNNNNNNNNNNNNNNNNNNNNNNNNNNNNNNNNNNNNNNNNNNNNNNNNNNNNNNNNNNNNNNNNNNNNNNNNNNNNNNNNNNNNNNNNNNNNNNNNGACAUAUUCUAGCAUCAGCUCCAGAACAACAAAAGAAAGAAAAGACCUCAAGAUACUAUGCACUCAAAGAUGUUGUUCCUUUGGCGCCUGCCUAUUCUACUAGCCACUCGAAACAAAAAAUCCUAAACCAAAAAGAGUAUGGUAUGUAGGUUUUCUUUGUCCAGCUGAAGUCUAAGGGCGUCAUGUAUAGCGUCUACAGUUUGAACAUUUGCAUGUGUCAUCAAAUCAUCAACAACAAGAAGCUACGCAGGAAGGGCAGCCUCUUGCGUAUGCCACGUUGGCAAGGAAUACUGUUGAGGGAGAGGCCGGGCGCUUCCGCGCGUGUGUGGGGCAGGCGUCUGGAUGCAGCAAUGCUACAUCCACGUAAUGCUACAUAAAUGUUUUACGUAAUGUGUUACAUGGACCAAUCAAAUUAAAGUUUGGAGGAUGAAGCGCCCCCACCUCCUGAAAAUCGGGGGGGGCAAAGUUAAUUAGUUAGGAGGCUUACGUUAGUCUCCGUGAAGCUUACGUAGAUGCAGCAUUUUCGGUCUGGGUGGUCCUUGGGUUGUUUCCGUACCCGAUUUUACGAGUAAUGCUACACCUACAAAGGCUUACGCAAAGAUUUUACGUACAAACUGAUGUGUAAGAUUGUGAUUGGUAAUUGAGGGAUGAGGGGCCCCACCCCCACUAAAAAUCAGGGGGGGAAGAAGAGUUAGUUUGGAAGGUUAAGUAAACCUUCGUAAGUUUUUGUAGGUCUAGCAUUUUUGCGAUUUUGCUGUAUCCAAGUGAAAAAAAGUCUAGCGAUGGAUCCUCCCUUCCCUAGGCCUCUGUUUUUCAUUCGCCCCACAUCGCCUCAUCCGCUCCCGCGGCUACUUCUCCAAGCGGUCGGGACCCGUGGCCGUGGGUGUGCUCGACUCCCCCAGCUGCUUCCACAAGUUCGACGUACUGCUUGCUUGCUUUUGUGCCUCCCAUGUGCUCCUUGGCCAAAUUCAGUCUGUUGGAGUGCACUUGAUCGAGGAAUUUGGGUUUUUUCAGUUGUUUGUUGGGGAACCUCCUGUUAGGAGUAGCUUUCUCUGCACUGCACUUUUCUAUUCACCGUAUUUUACUUAUAUACGCUUCCUGCAUCACACAAACACGUUCACAACUAAUGAAGCUAGACUAGAUAAGUACGUCCAGAUACGUACGCUCAAGAGGCGCGCCCCUACCACUAGUCACUAAUCUAAACCGGCUGGUAUAUCUUUAUUUCUGGGCGCAUCCCAUUGUUAUGCACACAAUAGUUUAGAAAUGCAAAUUGCGUUGAGCACUAGAACAGUUUCCACAUGGAUUUGGUUCUGGAAAAAUAUCAGGUCGAGUGAAAUUAGACCUCUUUGUGUAGCCAAUUUGGACUUAAUAGCCCAAUCUUCCCAAGAAAUAUUGUGUCACGGCAAUGUCAAUUAUAAAUUAACGAGAUGCACAGACUAUCAAUCGUCGUAUUAAUUUUAAAGCUAAGGGGGUGUUUCUUUCCAGGACUUUUUGGUGUAGAGACUACAAAAGGUCCCUUUUAGUCCCAUGUGAAAGAAACAGGAGGGACUUUUAGGGACUAAAGUGGGGUAGUUGGGACUAAAGGAAGAAGUCCCUAUGGGAGGGACUUUUUUGGCUCUUUUCCCAAUAAUGCCCCUACUUUUAGCAUGUUAUUUAAUAACUUGUAGUAUAUUAGUAGGGGUAACAUGGUCUUUUUGCAUGUCAUUUAAUGACCUCUAGUCUAUGUUUAGUCCUUGGAAAGAAACAUGUAGGGACUAGAGACUUUUUAGUUGGGACUAAAAAAAGUCCUAGGACUUUUUAAAGAAACAGGGCCUAACCCUUUUAACUUUGUCAAAUGAUUGCGCUCUCACUAUGCCUAACCCUUCAUAGUUGAUAUCCCGGUAAAAAAAUCCACAUGUAUUUGGUAGAAAGAAUGUUACUGCAUGAUCAUGUACUCAUCAAAAAUAAAAUAUUGUUAGUGUCAUCUACAAAGAUGAAAGUAUACAAAUUCUAAGGUGUGGAAAGCCAUAUUUGUGCCUCUUCAACCUUUGAAAUGUUUCUCGGGCUCCUUUGUCAACCUGAACUCCAAUUGUCUCACAAUGUUUGCAGCUUGGACGUAGUGGCAUGUAUCACCAUUUCUCGUGCCAUAAUGGACAUUUUGCUACCGCCAAUGAAGAAAAUAGUCACCACGUCCCAGGCCGAUGCCCUGGUUGCCUGGCGCCUGGAUCCUCCUAUUCAGAUACGUGUGUCUUGGUGACUCCCGUCCUUAUGUGCACCAAUUGAAAAAAGCCAUUGGAGAAAAGAAGGUUGCACUUCCAUGUAUCCCGAGAGCGCAAGCUUCGUGGCUACCGUGGCAACAAUGAAGACUUGCCAAUGUGAUUGCCACUCCAGCCUUCCCUACCUAGAUCCCAGCAGUCGUCAAUGAUUCAGCAUCCCGCUGACCUCCACCACCUGACCCCGUUCACUGCUCCGCUCCCUGGCGACAACCCUGAAUCUUCUCUAGUCUGCAUGGAUGCUGGCAAGGACAAGAUUGCCGUCGUCCCCAUCCGGGUAUCAUAUUCCAAAACCUCAUGCUCUUUAUUUCCAAUCUUGAACCGCCUUCAUCGGCCAGUCUACACCCUCUGGGUGACCCUUCCCCGCUCGCCAUGGUUUUCCCGUUCGUUCGUGGAGGGCUUUCUGCACUACUUCCUUUGUGCUCCUCUUGAGGGCUUGUUCGGUUAAUCCCAUCGAGGAGGGGAUUGAAGAGGAUUGGAGGGGAUUGAGGUGGAAUUUGACUUGUAAGGGAUUUAAUCCCUCCCAAUCCCUUCCAAACCCCUUCAAUUUUGAAGGAACCGAACAAGACCUGAGUGGUUGAUCAUGGUCAAGGCGUCUGCUGCAUUGCUAUCUCCCGAUGCCUCCCAUGCUCAUGGAUGUAUAAAUAGGGAAAGUGAAAAUGUGAAGAAACAGUGGACACUACAACACUAGUAGUAAUUUUCGCUCAUCCUUGCCUUUGACCCUUUCUACCCCUUUUCUUUUGAUCACGCUUUCAAGUUUAUAUAAACGGAAUGUAAAGAAUUAAGAAGGGGGAGAGGUAGGUGGUGGAUUGGGAAAAGUAGGUGGUACAAUUUGCGCAUUGAUCAGACUUAGUGAAGACAUCAUGAUUCAGAAAGGACAGAAACAAAAUAAUAUAAAUGCAUAAUGGAUGUCAUUUUAAGCACGGGACCUAGAAUGGUACCAAGCCUCGCAUAGCUUACCACGUGGCAAGCAAUCCAAACUAUUAAAAAGAGCAUUAGGUUUGCUGAAGUUAGGCUUCUCGAUGAGGCCAAUCGAGACUUGGCCAAAUUUACUCCCUCUACAAAGAAGUAUAAGAAUGUUUAGAUCAUUAUUUUAAUGGUCUAAACGUUUUUAUAUUUGUUUACGGAGAGAGUAUGUAAGAAACAUAGCCAAAUCUACUUGAGAAACAUUGUAUUGGGACAAUGCCAGUUGUAAUAAAUCAAAUAAGAUGCACUACUGUCAUACCUAAAAGCAUCUUUAAUACAAGAUGUAAAUUUGAAGAUGUAAAAGUAGGAGUGUUAUAAUUUAUAUCACUAAGAGGUGUUUUUUACAUCUUCAAAAAAGACCCAGCUCCAACAGAUAAUGUAAAACGGUGAUGUAAAUGGGCAACUCCAGUAUGUGAUGUAAACUGAAGAUGCAAAACCGGUCGGCCGCCACACGGCCGUUGUACACCCGUUGUUCAACACCCGCACAAAUUCAAAUAAAACAUUUGAUAAUUAAAUAAAAAAUUACAGAUGUCUACAAUAUCAAAUUAUUACAUAGAUCAAAUCCAUGACAUAAAAUGCAUCACACAUACAACAUAGUUUUGCACAAUACACAAACAAGUAAAUGAAACUAGGUGGCUCUCUCAUCAUGAUAUUUACAAUACUCCUCCAUCAAAUCCGUUCUGAAGUUGAUCGUGUGAAUCAUGGUCUCUAACUUCAUUGUACACCUUCAUGAAACAUUUGAUUCGCUCCUCUCUUCUCAUGGGCAUAACAUGUAUGCCCAUCAAGUGAUAGAAGGUGUAAUCUAAACCCUGUCUACGCUCAUUCUAAAUGAUCAUGUUAUGCAUGACCACGCAAGCAGUCAUGAUAUGUCAAAUGAUUUUUUAAUCUCAGAACCUAGAUGGUCCUUGUUGGGGAUCGUAGUAAUUUCAAAAAUAAAUCCUAGGCCAUACAAGGAUCUAUCUAUGGAGAAACCAGAAACGAGAGAGGUUGUGGAGCAUCUUCAUACAUUUGAAGAUCACUAAGCGAAAGCGUUACUAUGAACGCGGUUGAUGGAGUCGUACUCGCAGCGAUUCAGAUCGCGGUGGAUUCCGAUCUAUGUGCCGAAUCACGGAACCUCCGCGUUCAACACACGUACAGCCCGGUGACGUCUCCUCCUUCUUGAUCCAGCAAGGAGAGAGGAUAAGUUGGGAGAGAGCUCCGGCAGCACGACGGCGUGGUGGCGGUGGAGCUAUGUGGUUCUCCGGCAGGGCUUCACCAAGCGUUGCGGAGGAGGAAGAAGAGAGAGGUAGGGCUGCGCCGUGGGAGAUGAAUUGUGUGUCUCCAAAAGGCCAAAAGCCUCCAAUAUAUAUAGGAGGAGGGAGAGGGAGACUGCCUUGGCCCCUCCUCCAAGGAUGAGGAGCUUCGGCUGAAGCUAGGGAAGUGUCCACCUCCCACAAGUGAGGUGGACUACCUUGGUAGGACUCUUCCUCCUUUCCUUUUAAGCUUCCUUGCCUUAUCUCUUUUAUCCCUAUGCGCAUAGGCCUUUAGGGAAGGCCUUGGCCAGCCCAAUAAGGGCUGGUCCACCUCCUCUAACAGCCCAUGCACCUCUUUGUUCGUCACACCCCUUCUGGGGGUCCUCCGGCACUCCCGGUAUACUAUCGAUGAGCCCAAAACUUUUUCUGGUGACCAAAACAGGACUUCCUAUAUAUCAAUCUUUACCUCUGGAGCUCCUCGUGACGCCCGGGAUCUCAUCCGGGACUCCAAACAACCUUCAGUAACCACAUACCGUUCCCUUUACAACACUAGCGUCAUCGAACCUUAAGUGUGUAGACCCUGCGGGUCCGGGAGACAUGCAAACAUGAUCGAGACAUCUCUCCGACCAAUAAUCAACAGCGGGGUCUGGAUAUCCAUGUUAAUUCCCACAUGUUCCACGAUGAUUUCAUCGGAUGAACCAUGAUGUCAAGGAUUCAAUCAAUCCCGUAUGCAAUUCCCUUUGUCUACCGGUAUGACACUUGCCUGAGAUUCGAUCGUCGGUAUCCCUAUACCUUGUUUAAUCUCGUUACCGGCAAGUCUCUUUACUCGUUUCGUAACACAUCAACCCGUGACUAACUCCUUAAUCACACUGAGCUCAAUAUGAUGAUGGAUUACCGAGCGGGCCCAGAGAUACCUCUCCGUCACACAGAGUGACAAAUCCCGGUCUCGAUUCGUACAAUCCAACAGACACUUUCGGAGAUACCCGUAGUGCACCUUUAUAAUAACCCAGUUACGUUGUGACGUUUGGUACACCCAAAGCACUCCUACGGUAUCCGGAAGUUGCACAAUCUCACGGUCUAAGGAAAUGAUACUUGACAUUAGAAAAGCUUUAGCAGACGAACAACACGAUCUAGUGUUAUGCUUAGGAUUGGGUCUUGUGUCCAUCACAUCAUUCCCCAAUGAUGUGAUCCCGUUAUCAAUGACAUCCAAUGUCCAUGAUCAAGAAACCAUGAUCAUCUAUUGAUCAACGAGCUAGCCAACUAGAGUCUCACUAGGGACACAUUAUGAUCUAUAUAUUCACACAUGUAUUACGGUUUCUGGUUAAUUCAAUUAUAGCAUGAAUAAUAGACAAUUAUCAUGAACUGGAAAUAUAAUAAUAACAACUUUAUUAUUGCCUCUAGGGCAUAUUUCCAACAGUCCUCGCACAAUAGCAAAUUGCGAUUGCAAAAUGCCAAAAGCCCUCUCAAUAUCGUUCUUAGCCGCCGCUUAUGCACUGUGAAAGAUGAGUUCUUUCUUACCUUGGGGUUUUGAAAUUGGCUUGACAAAAGUACUCCAAACCUAGGAUAGAUGCCAUCCGCACGAUAGUACCCAUAGUUAUAUGUGCGGCCAUUUGCUUCAAAGGUCACCGUGGUGCUUUUUCAUUUGCUAACUUGGCAAAAAGAGGUGAUCGGUCGAGCACGUUGAUGUCAUUACAAGAUCCACGCAUGUCAACAUAUGAAUGCCAAAUCCACGUUUCUUGAUCGGCAACGGCCUCAAGAAUGAUUGUGACGCGCCUCCACUAACUCCGGUCGGGGGGGUGUCUAGGCUUGGAUGAAGCCUACCCCGUCAUAGACCUCACAGGGGAAGGCGUUUAGGCCAGUCGCAGCCGGCGGAGAAGCUUCGAUUCGCCGGCGACCGAAACUGAAUCGGCGGCUUCGAACGACGCGCCAUCGAGGCAGGCGGCGGGCCCGACGGCAUCGAUUUCAAGUGGAUUUGGCCGACGGCGGGGUCGGGGGGCGGUGGCCGGUCUUGUGGAAUGGGAGGGGAGAGGUGUCGGUUGGUGGACGGACACGAUUUCACAUAUCGUGAAGUUGGAGAUGCAAAUUCGCACCGGGAAGUGGUACAAUACGCAUCUCCGAAAGGUGAAGAUGUGAAUUUAUUUUUUCCAUCUACAUCAUGGGUUGGAGCAGCGGUUUGUAGGCCUCGAAAAUGCGCAAGGCGGUUACUUUUGCAUCUACGUCUUUUAUUGAAGAUGCUCUGACCAUUUUAUUAAUUUGUUCGAGUACUGAAAACCGGCAAGAUAAAUAAAAUAAGAUGGUCCGGCUGUGCGCGCAUCCCGCGGGCUCAGGCUUCGUGCCUGCGCGGCCCGCACGGCGCCCCGGAAAUUAUAUUUCGAAACGCAAAAAACUCCCUGGAAACUGAAGGAAAGCAUUUCUUUUCCUUUUUCUGGAAACCGUGGUUCGUUCGGCGGCACGCGUCGGAGAUGACAACUUCUUGACCCCAACAACGCGCUAAUCUGCCUCCUCUUCCCCGGCGCCGGCGCCGGCUCCACCUCCCCCUCCGCAGCCGCCCCCGUCGCCGUGCCGCCCACCCCCUCCUCCGGACCCGCAGCCACCCUACCCUCCCUCCGCGGCCAGGGGGUCCCGCCCUCGCCCUGACUCCCCGCCGGCCGGCCCCGGCGACCGGACGAGGACGCCCGGCAGCGCCGCCAGCGGAGGGUCCCAGAUUCGCGUGAUCCGCGCGAAUCCGUCGCCCGCGGUCCUCCCACCGCCUGCGGUAAGGAACCCCCCUAUAGCCCGCUCGGACAGAUUAAUCUGCAGCAUUCCAUAUCUGCGAGCGAUCAGGCGGCGGAUGGACGCGGUGUCUGCUAACGCAAUCCUCUGCUCGUUCGUUUGUUUGUCUGAUCUCGGUUGACCGACCCCAUUUCCAUUGAUAGGAUGUGCUGCGUUGUGUUUAACGCCCGUUAAUGCCGGCAAGCUCGUUCCCAAGUUUCCGAGGGUUCAGCUCACCCCGUCCAUGCCCACCGCCUACCCGCUGGAAAGAUGCUGCCUGCGCUUAAACUAUUUUUGUUCAGGCAGUGUCAGUAGGAUGGCUCAGCAGCCUUCAUACUACAUCCCUUCUUUAGCUGAGCAUUUGAUAGUGCAAAUGCAACGGAGGUCCAUUUGUCUGUAGCUAUGACAGCUUGUGGACACGAAUGCCCGUUGCACACUUGAUGCUUCUCCAUCGUUUAUGUUGACACAGAAAAGCAAUGUAGUAAUCUGAUGCCAUCCAUCUGCGACACUUUGUUGCAGGCAUGCUUUUUUUUAAUGUUGUUUUAUAAUUUUGUUUGCGGUUGGUCAUUGGAUAUUGUAGGGUCAUGCUAUUUGCAUCCACAAGUUUAUUCCAUGUCAAAUUCAAGGCCACCCACUUUACAGUGACACACUGUUAUUUGAAAACUAAUGACAUGGUAUAUUUCUUGCAAUGUAGUGAAGGUAUCCUCGAGUACUCAAUAAAAUGGAUAAGAAGGACGUGGAUGACAUAGAACCCGGGCCAUCUCCUUCUCGGCCUGUGGACAGAUUUGGCUUUAUAAAGACAGAACAAAGUAACUCUCCGGAGGGGAUUCUGAAAAGCAGAUCCACAAAUGAACGCGGAAGGUAUGAUCAGGGGUCUCCUGUUGUACUUACAGUCCCCAUACGUUUAUCUAUUUGGCAAGUUGGAGGCAAUGAAUCUCGUUGAUUAAUUACCUUUUCUAUGCUUGGGCCUUUUAAGCAAAUCUUAUGGAAAUGGUUGUCAUAUGUUUGACUUGCUUGGAUGAUAAAGAAUACUUAUCUAAAUCUUCUUUUCUCUAAGCAAUCUGUUUCGCGGGCUAACAAUUUGGGUUAUUGUAGAGAGGAAAGGAGGAUAAGAAAGUGGAGGAAGAUGAUAGGUGCUGGUGGCAGUGACUGGAAGCAUUAUGUUAGAAGGAAUCCUCAUGUGGUUAAGAGAAGAAUAAGGAAAGGAAUUCCUGAUUGUCUCAGAGGACUUGUUUGGCAGUUGAUUUCAGGCAGCAGGGACCUCUUGCUAAUGAAUCCUGGGGUUUAUGAGGUACUCAUAACCAUCCUUCUGUUUGAAUCAUUAGGAAAUUACUCGCCGUAGAUCAUACUCAUUCUCAUAAUUUGCUGCACUUUGUGCAUGUGCCUCUAUUGCGCUUAUUCCAGACUUGACUUUUUUUUUUAUAUAACCUGUGUUUUCUUUGGACAGACUUUGGUCAUAUACGAGACAUCGACGUCAGAAUUGGAAAUUAUUCGUGAUAUAUCGCGUACAUUUCCUUCUCAUAUUUUCUUCCAACAGAGACAUGGCCCAGGUCAAAGAUCUCUGUAUAAUGUUUUAAAAGCAUACUCUGUUUAUGAUAGGGAUGUUGGAUAUGUGCAGGUUUGUGUUCAGCCUGCCAACAUAUUAUAUAAGGUUGAACAUAUUCCCUGGAUUAACAUGCUAUUACUUUUGGGCGGUCUUGAUGCAGGGAAUGGGAUUUAUAGCUGGUUUGCUGCUUCUUUAUAUGAGUGAGGAGGAUGCAUUUUGGUUAAUAGUAGCUUUGCUAAAAGGAGCCGUCCAUGCUCCAAUGGAAGGCUUGUAUCAGGUGAUUGAACUUCUUUGGCAAUUUUUUGCUUUCCAAUGAGCAGACAACUCAAAUCACUAUAUGAAACCUGUACUUCAGAGUGAUGAAUGAGAGCCUUUUCUUCCAGAUUUUUGGUUCAGUAAUUCCAGAGUGUUUGCGUCAUGCUUAUCAUCAGCUUCUACCAGUUUUUUUUCUCAAUUUGAUAUAUUAACUAUUAAACUAAAAUUUGCCACUUGUUCAGAAGCAGUUAUAUUUAGUCCGAGUACUUAGUUUUGGAAACACUAAAGGAACGUUUUCUGGAAGAGAUCUGCAUAUUCUGUACUACUACCUCCGUUCCGAAUUAUAAGAUGUUUUGGAUAUUUCAACAUGGACUUUCUACGGUCUGAGAUAGGUGAACAAAGAUAGCUCACAAUAAAACACGUCUAUAUACAUCCGAUUUUAGAAAAAAGUUGGAAAAUCUUAUAAUUUGGAAUGGAGGGAGUGAUAUUUAACAAAUCUUACUCUUCACAAUUCUAUAACAGGCUGGUUUGCCGCUUGUGCAACAAUAUCUGUUUCAAUUUGAGAAAUUAGUUCAGGAGCACAUGCCAAAGUUGGGACAGCAUUUUAUUGAAGAAAUGAUAAAUCCAAGCAUGUAUGCAAGUCAAUGGUUUAUCACGGUUUUCUCAUAUUCCUUCCCAUUUCCUAUGACUCUUAGAGUUUGGGAUGUCUUCCUUUAUGAGGUAAGAAUCUUGGCCAUCCAAUUUUUUAAUGUUUCGUGUUUACCUGAGCUAAUGAGUUUUAAGACGUGUUUUACUGAUUUUUCAAACAUGUUUGCUUCAUAUAUGGUAUGAUUACAAGUUUUACAUUAGCAUUACUCCUUUAAGGACUUCUUUCAGAAGAAUUUUAUUAAGGGCAGUACAUGUAGUGGUAUACAAUCACUCCUUGUUUCCAGACCUUUAUAACCAUUAUUACUUGUACUGUCGCCUAAUAUAACAUGCAACAAGUGUGGAGGGUGAUGUACAUGUAUAGAUAAAUAGUAUCAAUAUUGGAGUUCUUUUGAACUUUGGUUCCUUCCCAUUCAAUGACUGUAUGUGCCUUAUGUUAAUUUCCAGAUGAAGUGCAGUGUAAAUUUAGGAACCAGACAGAAUCAGUUUUUGAACAGCCAUAGAGAAGCAUUCUAUUUCUAGGGAACUUGUAUGUAAUUUUGCAGAGUAUUUAUAUGUUACAAACAGUUGAAUGUAGCUAACACAUGGUUGUGAGGUCCUACUCAAAUAGUAGUUUCAUAGUAAGAUACAUAAGCUUGCAUUGCCAUUUAUAUUAUACUCUUUUUGUGUCCAAUAAGACAUGAAUGCACAUGCUUCUUUCAUAUGACUUCAUUCCUUAUAAUGUAUCAAUAAUGAUUUUCUAUAUCCAUGUAUUAAAACAGCUUACUGUAUCUGAUUUACAUGCUUUUUCUGAUUAUUGUCUCGAUCGUACUUACAGGGUAUUAAGGUUGUUUUUCAAGUUGGAUUGGGUCUAUUGAGAUUCUGCCAUGAUGACCUGGUAAGUUUCUUGGUUUCUUGUGCUGCUUUUGCUUAAAAGACAUAUUUUAAAGAAUUGCUGAAGUUACCUUUCUGUCAGGUCAAAUUGCCUUUUGAGGAACUUUUGCAUUCCUUGAGAUAUUUUCCGGAUGAGGCAACUGAUCCUGAUACAUUAUUUCCACUUGCCUUCUCAUUUAAGGUAAUCAACUGUUUUAUGAAGCAAAUGAGAUAGCGGUAUUAUUAUGUCCAUGGUUCCAUGAGUUCUUGUUUGUGGGAUAUUACGUAUCCUAUUUUUACUGUUUGGUGGUUCGUGGUUGCUGUAUGCCUAUAUCACACAUUUGGUAGAAGGAUUUUGUGCGUUUGCUGAUGAUCUGAGACCUGAACUUUGCAUUCCAUUAAUACUGAUAAUUGAGGUGCACUUGAUCUUACUUGCAGGUGAACAGUAGUCUCGAGGAGCUUGAGAAAGAGUACCGGAAAAGAUUGGAUGGACCCAAUGCAAGCUCAAGUAGCAGUAAGCGGCUUCAGCCCCUCAAAUCGAAAACGAUGAGCAGGGCUGUCAGCCAGGUCUUGUCUAUCUCAAAUGUUGGUAAAAAGUAACACAGUUAUUCGCCUUGUUGUUUAUGCCUUGUAUAGAGCGAUCAUCACUCAUCGCUUUGCUUUAAUUUUUCUAAGUUACGCCAUGUUUUCAUAACUGCAAAGGUUCACGAUGUUGUAUUUUUCCCUUGUUGCUGGACAACUGUAUAUAUUUGUUAUAAGAUGGAACAAUAUUUCAAUAACGAAAUGGUGAGAACGUUGUUGCCUUGAUUAUGUGUCGCUUGUACCUGCCAAUGUGGUUAUUUAUUUAACUAAUUCUGUCUGUAAUUGCAAAAACAUGACUGUAUGUUGAGAGUUCUAUUGAAGCGCAAACAUAUGUGGGAACCGCUCUCUGCAUGGAGACAAUCUGUAGAAGUUUUAGUACUCUCAAAAAUCACAUCAUGUUGCUCUUCUUUUUUUCACUCCCUCUGUUCCUAAAUAUAAGUCUUUCUAGAGGUUUUACUUGGGGACUACAUAUAGAUGAAUGUAUAUUCAUUCAUUUUGCUUCGUAUGUAGUCUCCUAGUAAAAUCUUUAAAAAACUUACAUUUAGGAACGGGGGGAGUAAAUCAUACUUGUAUUAAUAAUUUCGUGGCACUAGGUGUGACUGAACCAUCUACGAUGGGGCGUGUGAAGGGAGGAAGUUUAGAUGAGAGAAUACACUCAUAUUGUAUAUUUAUUUUUGGCUUUUAUCUUAUAGAGUAUAUGAGUGGGCUAGUAGUGAAUAAUUCCCAUGUCGAAUGAUGGCUACCAUAGCCAGUGGUUAAGUUGUAAAACUAUCUGCCUUUUAGGCAUUUUUUAUCUAUGAUCUCGGUACGUCAAUCUUUGAUGUAUCCUUGAAUUAUUAUUAUUAUCUGGCUUUUAUUGUCAUCUUCAAAUUUAACCUGAAAAGAUAUACAAACAAGGCCAUAUGCGACUUUGCAUGAGUCUGAAUAACAUUCAACGUGUGUGCGUGGGAGAUCAGUUAGAAUUUUCACCCGUAUUAGUCUACGUGCGUGUUUUGCUAUGCACACAUGAGAUACCGGUGUAAAGAAACACUGGUAAAAAUGUUGAAAUCAUGUUUUAUAUAAGAAUAUAUUCUACAUACACCACAACAAACUAAUAUGUGGAUUGAACAAACAUAACGAACCAUUCAAUUCAACAAACUCAGCAACUUUUUUCAGUUGCGUCAUUGAAGACAACAGUUUUUCACAGUCACACAUAACGUACAAUAUUUUAUGUCAGAGGGAUGACUUCCUUGAACUCCCAUUUUCCAUUAUGGGAAGGAGGGAUGGCUUCCUCUUUCUCUCUUAAUGAAAAUAGGCAGCGCUCCUGCCGAUUCCUUAAAAAGGAAAAGGUAAUUUUUCAUUCCCUAAUUUCCACAAGAUUUUUUUUAUGAAAUAACCGGUCCUUGUGCUAGGUAUUUUUGUUUAAUUUGGUAUCAGGUCUACUUAUGUCGAAUCACAAGCAGAGGAGAUGGAGGUACCCCUCUCCUUGAAUGUCUCCGCUGGCCAGGGCGUGGUGGUCUGAUAUGCUUCAUUUCCUUUGGCCACUUAUUAGUAUGAUAUGAUAUACUUCCUCUAUCCCAAAAUAAGUGUCUCAACUUUAAUACAGUUUUGUACUAAAGUUAGUACUUAUUUUGGGAUGGAGGGAGUUCUCAAUAUACAUGUAUUUGUUCAUUAUCUCUACCUUCUUAUAUAUGCAAGGAAUGGAGAGCUAUAAUGUUGCUAUGGACACUUCAAAAAAUAAUGUCGCUAUGCUGACAUAUUUCUGCGGGCAUUUGUGGGUGAAUAAUAGUUGACAAAUUCAGUUACCUUUUAGUUGUAGUAGUCGACAAGACAAAAAAUAAUAAUGGUACUGACCAAUUCAGUUACUUCUUGCAGAAAUUAUUUUACACUUGCAUGAAAAAACAGUAUAACAUUCAGAUAAAAAUGCUUCAUUUUUCAUAUCAUGCAUGUCAUGUUAGAAAGAAGAGGGCAAUAUAUAUGCAAUGGUGGUGACUUCCAUAUAUCACGCUCUGCCUUACAAUCUUUUUUCCCAAUUUUUGCAACAGUAAUGAUAAAACAGUUUAAACAUGGAAGUUAAAACUUUAUUUAAUUUUUAACCUUGGGCAGUUACGGCUUCAUGUAGUAAUUCCUAGACUGAACCUAAUCCUAGUUCUCCCACGAUUUGAAUGGUUCUGGUUGUUCGUUUGCUUGAUUUAGACGACCUUGAUCCUUGAUCUUAGUUUUGGCCUCCACCGCAAGUUAUAUUUCUUGGCCCAGCUAUCCUAAAGGUUGCUGCUUCACAGGAAAAAUCUGAGCUCUAUGGUUAUGGUUAACUUCUUUUGGAUUGAGUUGCUUAAUUGACACUGCAAUUUUGGACUUCCUUGUGUACGUAGUCAGGCCGGAAGUUGAAACUGACAAUGAUGAUGUCAUUGACCAAGAUAUUCUGGAUGCAGUGAUAUAUGAUGACAUGUUUGCUAAUCUCAAACAUGUCUCGGUGGAUCCUCCGAAGUACUUACCAAAUGACAUGUGGUUUAUGAAGUUUCUGCUAUCAAAAGCACGGAUGCUCGAAUACUUUUUUUGUCACUUUCAACCAUGGAGAAGAAACCAAAGCUUACGUGGAAGCAUGUAAAGAGUUAGCAACGUGCGAAAUUGCGUCUCCCGAAGCAUGUAAAGCAGUGUUGUGGAUCGCUAUAAAAUUUCCAACAUUGGAUCUCUUGCUAGGGAGCGUACACAUUGAUAUUUUUUUUCAGUUGCAAUUAUGAGUUGCACUGUAUUUAAACAACUUUUAGCUUGCAGAAUUCCCUUCCAUCCAUCUCUUGAUAUUUGAUGAUCCGAUAAAUGUAUGUUGCACGUGCCAUCAUUAUCUGAUUUUUUUAUGUAUUUGUUAUGAUGCCUCCCAUCCUUAUGCACACACCAAUUCACAAAUGCAAAAAAACAUGGAGCCUUAGAGUUGCAAAUUAUUCUGUAGCUCUCUACACCUUUUUUUACGUUGACUUUGUGUUUGGAAGUUUAUAUAAGACGGGGAGAAACCGCGCAAGAGAAAAUGCAUGUGUUGCAUGGAUAGGGAAUGUAACUAUAAAUGUCUUCUCCCUUUUGCUGAAGGCCAAGUUCAUUAUGAUAGUAAUCCAUACUCUUGAUAUCCGAGAGAUUAUCGGUGGUCAAAUUCAGAAAAUUGACUAAUAAAUCCUUGUACCAUAUAUGGUCAGUAAGACAAAAAUCGGUGUUAUUGGCCACAUGACCAACUUUUAUCGGAAUCUCCAUAUUAGUCCACACAACCCUAUCAUUAACUUGACCAAUCCGAUCCUAUGAGUCUUUAACAGUAGAAUCUUAAUGUAUAAAAACUCUAUCAAAAUUAUAGAAUCGUGUUCAACAUUAUCAUUUAACCCUAUUUUAUUCAACCAACUCUUGUGACUUAUUGUAUACAUUUGCCAUCAGAAAGUACCAAGAGAUUCCAAUGUAUCACAUAUUUUGAGAAACUGUAUUAGGUAGAACCAGAAAUGAUCAUAAGUGUUGCUGAUACCGACCCGUUAUAAGCCUGAUUCAACACAAAUGUAGUUUUAGUUUAUGACUUUGAUCAAGAGCGAGAAAUCCUACAUCAACCCUACAAUGUGCAGUCCUAGCAAGGGAAGACCGGUCAAAUCCUUGAUCGCCAUCAUGAUGAACCCCGCAAAAGGUAGGACCUCACAUCUCAACGUCGUGGAUCGCUAUAACAAAAUUAUCAUCACAACAACUCUUGUCACGAACUGAUUAUCCUUUGCCCCAUCCAUGCAAGAUGGUGAUAUGAUGUCUCUUCAGGCUGGUUCCCACUGGUUAUUUUCUUCCCAAUGCCUCCCAUCCUCACGAGUCGACUAAUAUGAAGAGAAAGAGCCACUCCACACUGCCAAAACAAAACUAGUCGUACAGCUCUACACACAACGGCCGAUACAACCAUCUCACAAUUUAUAUAACACGGUGUGAAAGAAGUGAAAGUACCAUAGAUGUCAUUGUCAGACAAACAAUGUGAAGUACACUCUCAAUAACACGGUGGCCAUUUACUUCAAAGUUGGAGCUUGUCGCUCUAUGUUUCACAACACAGUACGUCAGCACUGAGUUUCAACAACCAUGCAAGCAAUAGGGCAAAUCAAUUGCAUAGAUCAUGCAUGAGUUCACAUCACACAAUAGUACUCUUCUGGGAACACCAGAUGGUUCGUGGGAAUUUAAGCACAACAAAUUACAAGCGGAUUGGCAUAAUAACGUGACAGACUUGCCGGUGUUGCAAACUUCAAGCAUCAGCCACCGCGGGGGGAGCGAACAGGGUUAUCUCCACAUUGUCAUGGACACCCUGCAGAAGCAUUUCACCAUCGUAGGUGACAACUUUCCUCUUCUUGGCGGCCCGCAAGGUGCCAACUAAUGCUUCAAAUAUGUUUGCACAUCGGUCGUCAUUGAAGAUGACACCAAAUUUGACCUGCAAACCACAAUAAUUCAAUUACACAAGUUGACAUCCAUUGAUUAUGUUCACAAAAUGCAGGAAAGCUGCACUACAAACUUUCUCAUGGGUAAGCUUCUAUGGUUCCUGUAUAAUCACAUAAGUUUCUGCAUUACAAGCCUAACCAUUGACAACAAUACUAAUAGGAUACAUCUUUAUAACUCACAAACACAUAACUAUUCCAGCGAAACAAGAACUGCAUUUAGCUAGUCUUUGAGUCAUAACUUGCCUGAUGCAGUGUCAGCAUAAGCACGAAACAUCAAGAUUUAUACAGCUCUAUGAAAUCUACAAUAAUGAUGUCACACAGACUGAAGUAUACUUGUGUUCAUUUGUCUGUUUUGAUGUUAAAAUUUAUGAAGAGUUAAAGGCUGAGGCAGGUUAAAAAAAAUAUGUGAUUGACAGGGUAACGUGCUACACAGAAUAAAUCUCCCUCCCCAGUCCAGAAAUAGGUGUGGUUAUAGCCAUCUCAUCAAGUCGAGGAGCGUAUAUCUUUUUACAAUUUCUAGGAAAAAUGGGUGGUUUUAGCCAUUUCAUAAAGUCCAGAAGUGUGUCAUUUUACAAUUUCUAGGUAAAAUGGAUGGUUUUAGCCAUCUCAUCGAGUCCAGAAGUGUGUCGUUUUUACAGUUUCUAGGUGAAAUGGGUGGUUAUCUCUUUUUAUCGAGAAGUGUGUGGCGUUUCUAGGUAUUUUUCCUUACACUAUUCCAGUUAUAAACCCGAUGGCAAUGCUCUGAUUAACAAGUAUUUCUCCUGUUAAUGCUCUUGGAGAGAGCACACGAGAAUUAAGAAAAAAAUAGAGCACAUUGGAUUAAGAGAAGGAAAUGAUGAUUAACUGAGGAUAUUUUUAAUUCUAGUGACCAUGGCAAAAACGACCAACAUUGCUGAACGAAGGGAGUACUUAAUUCAGCAUUCAUCAGAAAAGAGGAAGAUGGAGAAAUCACAGUGACCACUAAUAAGCACUUCAGAACCUCACAUGAUCAAGGAACAAAAGGGAAUAUGUGACUGAACCUUACAACAUGACAUGACACCAGGCAGCUUUGACACUUGGAAUGGGAAUGCAAAACUCAUUUAGACGGCGCAAUGCAUUUAUCAUGUUCUUGUCUAAUCUCAUUGAGUUAUGAGCACUCUAUAACGGCAACUUAAUGGACACAACCAUCUUGUUGAAAUUUUCAACAUCAGAUAUAACUGUGUCACAAUGUUAUAAGAACAACUUAACCACUGCCUGCAAAAAUUUGGACCGCAAGUGCACAGUUAUGCAGCUACUGUUUCUAGUUUCAUUUUCUUGUGAAAUCGGAGUGGAUGUCUUGAUUGCCAACAGGGGUACCCACCCCAUUGCAUACCAGGCUGCAGUCCCAUGUGCGGCGAGCCGGUGGUUCCUUAACACUUCAGCGCGCCCAGUGGACAAAAUGUGAGCGCAUCGAACUGAAUGUACAGCAAGAACAGUAGGAGAAAUUAUACAGUACUAGAGUAGUAGUAAAAUUCUGCCCCACAGGCAAGGAAGGGGAAAUUCGUCACACGGGAUCUGUUCAGCAGCUUAGCAAUUUUCCAGACCAUUCACAAAAACUCAAACAGGUUUCAUCGGCUACGUUUCGUCCCGUUUCACGACCCUACGCUACUGGUCUCAGAAAGUCGGAAUCGCGAACCACGGAUCUGCAAUUCAUCCGCCGGCUCGUGCGCACAUCGACCGCCGCAGGAUCCGGCGAAAUGCGCAAUGGCGGGAGAGCGAGAAUCCGCAUCGGGCGAUCAGCUGCGCGCGGCAAUGGCACCGAUCUGCGUGUCGGCGUGAGACAGUCCAGAGGAUGGGGGUGGGGGAUCGGGGUAGAAGAACGCAGGGGAGAUUCCAGAUCUGGGGAGACUGGUUCGUUGAUAGAGUACCUUGUAGGAGCCGUCGGGCUGCUGCUGGCCGAGCCUCUGGAUCUCCUCCUUGAGCCUCCCGACCUCCUCCUCGACGUGCCCGAUGUUCAUGGCGCCUCUCUCCCUCGCCGGUUUCUUCUCCGAUGAUGCUCGCCGGGAUCUUGGCGCGGCUGGAUGCUAACAAUUCUCUUUUUCUUAUCGGGGUGGAUGAAGGAGAGGACGACCCGUGGUUGGUUGGUUGCAAGAAUGACUUUUGGCAAUGGCACCAACCGUUGGGGGCGGAGCGCCGCAUGAGCCGUUGGAUCGGAGAUGGACGGGGUAGAUGAGGGCGACGACGGUGCAAGCCAUGGAUUAGGUCACACACAAAUAUUAUAUCACCUUGCACGAAAACCAUGGAUUAAGUGCAUGUUCGGAACCUCGCCAGGUUUCACGACUCCGCUCCGCACGAGGAGCUCGGUUGGAGCUACUAUGUGCAAUUGUGACGUCGGUUCCUCCGUACUAAGAGUUACGGUUGUGGAGCGGAGAAGAUCCGAUCAGGGCUUUCUUCAUGAGGCUGUGAUUUCAAAAACACAUGGAUAAGGAUGGCAUGCCCCCCCUCGUCUCUAGCUGCUUUCUUAACAAAGGUGAUGGGCAACCCUGAUUCUUUACAUUUUUUGACUAGUUUGAAUUGCUUACCAAAUGUGCCACAUGGUCCGACCUAUGGUGUGUAGUUUUUGUUUUAUUUUUGAUGACAUGUCUUGACGAUGGUGACGGCCGAGAGUGAUAUGAAAGCAUGGUGCAUCCAAUUUGCAUCACUAUUUUUUUAUAAUCGUUCAUAAUUGUCCAUGUCUUGCACAUUAUCAUAUUGUUUUUAUUUAUUUAUACUUAAUUUAUGUGUUGCAAAUUUGCAAUGUAGAGGGGCGAAAACGGCAUAAACGAGCAAAAGAAGAGCAGAAAAGAAACUCUGUUUUUGGAGCUCGAAACAAAUAAAAAAUAUCAAAAACUUAAAAUCUCAUGAGAAGAGGGCAAUGUGCAUUGGACCCAGGGAGUCCCUUGUGGGGCCUACAUAACCCGAGUUGGGCCACGAAUAAAGGGUGUGUAGGGCUGACGGAGCACCUUCCCCCCACCCCCCGCCGUUUCAUAUUUUACCCCUAAAGAAGACCAUAUGAUAAUUGAGAAUAUGCAACUCUUACUUAGAAUUUUUCUAAAAUAAGAUUAAUUAUAAAUGUUUGAUGACUAAGAACAUAUGUCGUUAAGUUUCAACAGAAUGCACUAUUCGAAUCAUAGUGUGUGAUUUGAUUGAUACUUUAUCAUGAUGAGUUUUAUGAGAAAUAGUUUAUGAUUAUGAUGGUAGGAAAAGUAAUUGAAAUUAUCAUUGAUUAACUUAUACACUAUGCUAUCAUUCACACUUCAUAAAUUAUUUCUUCUAUCAUUUACCUAUUCGAGGACGAGUAGGAAUUAAGCUUGGGGAUGCUCAUACGUCUCCAAUGUAUUGAUAAUUUAUAAAGUAUUCAUGCCAUAUUCACCCAAGUUGUAUAUAGUUUUGGUGCACUUUUAUAUGAUUCAAAUGGAAUUAACCUGGACUGACGUUGUUUUGAGUAGAAUUACCGUGGUGUUUUUUCUGUGCAGAAAAUAAAAGUUUUAGGAAUUGGGUGAAACUUUUUGGUGACUUUUUAUGGAACAAAAGAGGCUCGUGGAGCAUCGGAGAAGUGCCAGGGGGUGGAUGAAGGAGCCGCAAACCUGCGGUUCCCCUAGCUUGUGAGCCCCUCGGGCACCUCCCUAGCGUGAAACCGACACCCAAAAAUCCUAUAAAUUCAAAAAAACACAGAACUUGGCCUGGAACUUCUGCACCGCCGGCGCAAGCCUCUAAUCCGAAGCGAUAUCAUCUCGAGCCCUUUUCUGGUACCCUGUCGGAGGGGGAAAUCAUCAUCGGUUGCCAUCUUCAUCAUCGCGACGCUCUUCAUGUCGAGGAGGGAGUAUUUCACCCUUGGGGCUGAGGGUAUGUACCAAUAGUUAUGUGUUUGUUCUCUAUCUCUCUCUCUCCCUUUCUCUUUCUCUCUCUCUAUCCCGUGUUCUUGAUGUGGCACUAUCUUGAUGUACCACGAGCUUUGUUAAUAUAGUUGGAUCAUAUUGUGUUCUUCCCUCUCUAUCUUGUUAUGAAUUGAGUCUUUCCCUUUGAGGGUUUGUUAUGUUGGAUUGAAUACUUUGGAUUUGAGAACACUUGAUAUAUGUCUUGCAUGCGGAUACCCGUGGUGACAAUGGGGUGUUCUAUUGAGCCACAUGAUGUAUGUUUUGGUAACCAAAUUACGGAUUCCCGUGGUGACAUUUCGGGUAAUCUAUGCACAUGGGUUGGUACACGUUUCCGUCCUAUUUUCUCCGAUUAGAACUUUGGGGGUACUCUUUAAGGUUCUUUUUGUGGAUUGAAUGUUAUGAAUCUGAAAUUGUUUGAGGCAUGUAAAAUAAUCAAAUCACGGAUACUUGUGGUGACAUUGGAGUAUCUAGGUGACAUUAGAGUUGAUUGAUCGUAUCAUAGGUGUUAUUCUAGUAUGAACUCUAGGGUUGUUUGUGACACUUAUAGGGAUGACUCAACAGAUUGAUCAAAAAGGAUAACUUUGAGGUGGUUUUACUACCCCACAGCAAUUUUAUCUUAUGUUCACCGUUAGAUAGAAUCUUUGGAGUGAUUCUUUGUCGCACAUUGACGAAUGGUUAUAUGAUUCAAUUAUGUUAGCCCUGUUGAGGGACUCCAUUAGUGAAAGUAUGAACCCUAGGCCUUGUUUCCGAGCAUUCAUAUAACAUUUUGCUUGUUGUUUGCCACUAGCUACUUGCUGUUUUUAUAUUUUCAAAUUACAAAGACCUAUAUCUACUAUACAUACUACACGUGUAUCACCAUCUCUUCGCCAAACUAGUGCACCUAUACAAUUCACCAUUGUAUUUGGUGUGUUGGGGACACAAGAGAUUGCUUGUAUUUGAUUGCAGGGUUGUUUGAGAGAGACCUUCUUCAUCCUACACCUCCCACAGAUUGAUAAACAGUAGGUUAUUCACUUGAGGAAAAUUUAUUAUUGUCCUACAAAACUCUGCACUUGAAGGCCCUAUAACGUAUAGAAGAAUAAAGUUAUGUAGUAGACAUCAAGAGCGAUGUGGUAGCCGCUUUGUACAGUGAAUAUUCCUUUGGGGUUAGGCGCCCAAGCAAGACCGUCUCGAGUCGGCGCGUCGAGGGCAUGAUUUGCAUGAUGGUAGACCCAUCCAAGGGGUGGAAGUGAUGUUGUACCUGCUCACCAUUCCAUGUCUCCCCUUCACCAGUAGCUCCGACACGCGUUAGAGUCGGCAUGUACCACAUGCCAUCAUCGGACUAUGUGAUGCAGAGUAGGGUAGCCAGGGAUCCCUCCAGAUGCGGAUGUGCUUCCCGUUACCGACAUGCUAGAUCAAGCCCUUCUCAAGGAGCUCAAGGUUGUGGUGGAUAACAUGCCAUGUCGAUGAGGCAUUACAUGAAAACACAACAUCCUUUAGUGCCCUGUUAGGAUAAACUUGGCAUGAAGUACUUGUGCAUACAAUAAUUGUGGUCGUGUGAGAAGCAUACAUACUUGCCUCGCUAGUAGGGCCUGAAUUAACAAGCGAAAAUUAUGGAAUCCCAUGUCACCUCAAUUUUUCGAAAAGGAGGCCUUGCCCCGGCCUCUGCAUCGAGUGAUUCAUGCAGCCAUAUAUUAAACCAAACAAAGUCUUCACAAAGUACAAAUUUGACGAAAGCAAAAAGGUGCUAAAAUAAAAAGAUACAUGGCGAACAGCGCGCCGAAGCCGGAGGUGGCUAAAAGAUCUAGAUGCCUAAACACCUAUCCUAUUAAUAUGACGCCAUCCAAACCGGUUGAAGAUACCCUGUGCUACCAUCUCCCAACGGACACACCUAGUAACCAUAGGCUCCCUGGCUGCCACAGGAGUUAGUAACGACCAUGUGCGGAUCAGUGCGGUAGUUCUAAAGAUAACGUGCAGAAAGUGAAUAUCACGUAGUCUCUUAAAAACCAAAUCAUUUCUGCUGUUCCAUAAAGCCCAUAAAAGAGCACAUGCUCCGACACAAAUAGAUUUGGCCAAUUGAACAUCAACUCCCUGUAACCACGUUCCAAAUAACGAGUUCAAGUUAACAGGAGGAGGGAUGUUAAAAGUAAUGUGAAUCGAGCGCCAAACAAGUUUAGCCAUAGGACAAUCGAGAAAGAGGUACUGAAUACUCUCUACCCUUGGACAAAAGCUACAUCUGGGGCUACCUUUCCAAUUCCGUUUGGCCAGAUUAUCCCUUGUUAAAAUAACUCCCUUGUGUACAAACCACAAGAAAACUUUAAUUCUAAGAGGCACUCUGACCUUCCAAAUAUGUUGGGUUUUUGGAAUAGGUAUGGAAUCAAUGAGAUCAAAAUACAUGGAUUGAACCGUAAACAUCCCAUUCGAUGUUAAACUCCAAGAAAUUCGAUCAAUCCUGUCAGAAAGAUUAACCUCCAUUAACCUUCUAACCAUAUACAACCAGGAGACCCAUCUAUCACCAAUUAAAGAUCUACGGAAUUGAAUAUUAAGGGGUAUCUCACGCAAUACUGCCGCAACGGACACUUAUCGGCAUUGGGCAAUAUGGUACAGCCGCGGGUAUUGAAGAGCUAAAGGUGAAUCUCCUAGCCAGGAAUCUUCCCAGAAUCUAGUCAAUUCACCAUUACCAAUGAUAAACCUCGUUCUGUUGAAGAAAGAGUUUUUCACCCGCAUCAGACCCUUCCAGAACGGCGAGUCUAGUGGUCUAGCCGUAACCUGAGAUAAAGAUUUGGAGUGAAGGUACUUGUUCGUCAGAAUUUGUACCCACAUCCCUUCGGAUUCCAUAGAUAAUCGAAACAGCCACUUGCUGAGAAGACAUCUAUUUUUGGUCUCCAAAUUUUCGAUUCCUAAACCCCCUUGUUCUUUAGGUCGGCAGAUAAUAUCCCAUUUAGCUAGCCUAUACUUAGUUGUAACCUCAUCACUUUGCCACAAAAAACGAGACCGGUAGAAAUCCAAUCUUUUUCGCACCCCCACAGGUACCUCAAAAAAAGAUAGGAGAAACAUAGGCAUGCUUGUUAAUACUGAAUUGACAAGCACUAACCUACCUCCGUAAGAAAGGAGCUUACCUUUCCAACUACUAAGUUUCUUUUCAAACCGUUCCUCAAUGCAUUUCCACUCAGCAUUGAAAAGUUUACGGUGAUGAAUGGGAAUUCCUAAGUACGUAAAAGGUAAAUCCCCAGGUACACACCCAAACAGCUGAUUAUAAAUAUGUUGUUGGUUUUUGGCUUCACCAAAACAAAACAACUCACUUUUAUUGAAAUUUAUCUUCAGCCCAGAUAGUUGUUCAAAAAGGCAAAGGAUGAGCUUAAGAUUUCUAGCUUUCACUAGAUCAUGCUCCAUAAAGAGUAUAGUAUCAUCGACAUAUUGUAGGAUAGAGACACCCCCAUCCACCAAAUGAGGUACUAGUCCACCUACAAGGUCCUUUUCGUUAGCUCUCUUAAUCAUAAGAGCCAACAUAUCCGCAACAAUAUUGAAAAGAAUAGGAGACAUCGGAUCCCCUUGUCUGAGCCCCUUAAGUGUCUGGAAGAAGUGACCAAUGUCAUCAUUGACCUUAAUCCCGACACUCGCUCUUGUAAUAAAGGAGUCUAUAUGCUUUCGCCAUAGCUCAUCGAACCCCGUCAUCCGCAAGGUUUGUUGCAAAAAGGACCAUUUCACUUUAUCAUAAGCCUUUUCGAAAUCCACUUUGAAGAUCACCCCGUUAAGUUUCUUCGAGUGAAUUUCAUGCAAAGUCUCAUGAAGAACCACUACCCCUUCAAGGAUAUUACGCCCAGGCAUAAAUGUGGUUUGCGAAGAUUGCACCACUGAAUGUGCCAUAUUAGUUAGUCUAUCCGUACCCACCUUUGUGAAAAUUUUGAAACUAACAUUAAGCAAACAGAUAGGGCGAAACUGCUCAACGCGGGUCGCCCCUUCCUUCUUUGGUAUCAACGUUAUGGUACCAAAAUUCAGAUGGAAGAGCUGUAGGUUACCAGCAAACAGAUCAUCAAACAUUGUCAUAAGAUCCGCUUUGAUGAUAUGCCAGCAUUUUUCGUAAAACUCCGCCGGAAACCCAUCAGGACCAGGGGCUUUGCCACUCUUCAAUCCUCCAAUCGCGUCAAGCACCUCUUUCUCCAUAAAAGGAGCAGAUAAAGACUCAUUAUCGGCCUCUCCGACUUGAGGAAUAUCUGCUACCUGGUGCUCAUCCAUAGUCACAAAACUAUCAUGAGGAGCACCAAAAAGCUGUUUAUAAUAGUUUGAGAUAUAUAAUUUUAAGUUCUCAUGACCUACUAUUAUACCCUCAUCCUGCUCAAGCUGAACUAUCCUUUUCUUCCUAUGUUUUCCAUUUGCUACUAAGUGAAAAAACUUAGUGUUAUUAUCCCCAAGGACGAUCGCCCUAACUUUGGCUGUGUCCGCCCACUUCAUUUCCUCCUCUCUAAGGAGUACACGAAGUCUUUGUUCGGCCUCAAAUCUGAGAUGACGGUCGUUCUCAUCAAGCAGACACCAUUCAGCCUUUCGAUCGAGCUCAUCUAUAAAUUUAAUGAGCCUCUCCCGCUCAUCUUUAUAGGUCCCCGAGACAUUCUUAGCCCAACCACGAAGGUAUUGUCUCAGAUGUCUAAUUUUAUUUUGCCAGUGUUCCACAUUGGAUGUUCCACCCAAAGUCCUAUUCCAUUCCCUGGCAAUCAUCUCCAUGAAGCCCUCCCUUAAAAACCAGCUGGACUCGAAAGAGAAACUGUCUCGAUUACCCAUGUGCGAUGCAUCCCCUGUAUCCAACAGAAGGGGAGUAUGAUCGGAGAUCGCCCGUUGAAGUGCACGCACGGUAACCAAAGGGAAUUUCUGUUCCCAAUCAACACUAGUAAGAACUCUAUCCAACUUUUCAAAAGUUUGAUUAGGUAAGGAAUUCGCCCAUGUUUAAUUCCGGCCCGAGAGUUCUAUCUCCCGCAAGUCAAGGCUCUCAAUAAUAGUAUUGAACAAAAAUGGCCAUCUACCAUCAAAAUUGUCAUUGUUCUUUUCAUGAGCCCACCUAAUAAUAUUGAAAUCGCCCCUAUCAAUAAUGGCAAUUUCUCAUCGCAUAUUCGAACUAAAUCCGUCAGGAAUUCAGAUUUAAGUUCAGGUUGAGCAGCCCCGUAAACCGCUACAAGAGCCCACCGGAAACCAUCCAUUUUGGAUGAAAUUCUAAAUUUAACCGCGAAAUCACCAAACACAACUUCCCUAACCUCAAGUGUGUCACAUCUGACGCCAAGUAAGAUCCCCCCAGAUCUUCCUCUUGGACGUAGACAAUGCCAAUCGAAAUCAAUCCCUGCGGAAAGAGAACUCAAAAACUGAGAUGUGAACUUGUCUCGCCCUGUCUCCAUAAUGGCAAUAAAGUCCAGCUGAUGCUCCAACGUGGCGUCAGCGAUGAAUCUGGUUUUAGCCAAGUCACGUAGACCUUUGCUAUUCCAAAAUAUUCCUCUCAUCUUUCGUCAUAGAAUUUCUUAGCAGUCUUAAAACGAGCAUUCCUACGGACAACAGAAAUCGGAUAUACUUUUCUUUUCCAUGUCCGUUUCAUUUUCUCCCCAUGUCCCUGGUCCGUAUAACCAGGAAUAUGUGACUCGGUUUGACGUGCACGCUCAGCAACUAAACUAUCAUCAAGAUAAGAUUCCUCACCCAUCUUAGGCUCAUCUAUGGGAAGCAGAUUCUCACAUAGAGAAUUCAGCCCCCCUAGGUCAUUAAUCUCAGCAUCGGUCAUCGGUUUAACAGCAGCCACAUUUCGAACAAUAUCCAGAGCCCUAUCUACCUCUAGAUCAAGUAGAUCAUUAAUAGAUUUCGAAACUUCAGCAUUUGAAUUACCGAGAGAUACCCCAAUAGCAGUGGCCUUAUCAAAAAUCUCAUGAGGGAAAAAAUGCAUAAUAGAAUGAUCUAAAUUAACAGACAUACCUGUUGAUGAUUCCGCUUCCCUCAAUUUUGCAGCUCGCAUCGCACGACCCAACUGUAGGUCAUCCGCAUCUGGCUGCGCUUGAAUCCGCUGACUAACCCUCCUGUCCAGAGUCACAGGAUCUAGAAUACCGCCAAACUGUAUGACAGCAUCCUCGGAGAAUGAACGCCCCGCCGAGUUACCUCCCCCAUUAUCUAGCAUCUCCACCGCCGGAGCCACAGGAGAAACAACAGCGGGCACCUCAGCCACCAGACCCUGUUUAUGAACCACUGUGUCCCCCUCCACAAUCCCCAAGCACGGCAAAAUCAUCGGUAUCCUAGCAUCGUCCUCCCUUACCUUCUGCAAAUAGCAAUCCAACGAUAUCGCCUGAAGUCCCACAGCCGGCGAAGCAGGUUGAAACGAGGCACUGGCAGACUGUUUCCCAAGGUACGACAGUUUCACCUGCCUUUGAUGACCAUCCUGAUCCGACAGCUGAGCACAGGCAGCUAGCCUGGCCGGCACCGCGUCUGGUUCAAAAGAACCAAAGCGCAGCUGCGCCCCUGGAGCCGAUACAACGCCACCAGAGGACGAACCACCGUCGCCCGACUUCGGCUCCAAAGCAUCAGACCCAGGAGCAGAAUCCGGUAAGGAGGAAGGCUUACCCUUGUCCGUAUCUUUAGCACCCGACUCACCAUCCCUAUCUGGCAUAUCAACAUCAGGAUUCACCGUGGCAUCUCCGACCGUCGGUGGACUCUCGAUCUCAAGACGCAGGGUAAAUCUCUUACCCUCAAAAAUCCAGAGCACUUCAUCCGGGAUCAACCCACUAUCAAUAACACUAACAAACACUCGUGCAGCUCCGUUAGCACGCGUGAACGCCAUGUCAACCUGCUCCGUUUUACCAAUUAGGGAUCCAAAACUCCAAGCAACCAAGAAGUCGUUAACCGCCUUAGACGGAGCUCCAUAAAAUCGGACCCAAACCUGAUCAAGAGGAACCCCCUGAGGCUCAUCUCCCUUCCACACAUCGAACUCCAGGAUACAGCACGUGCUUGGCACUCUACACAUGCCAAACUUGAGCAGCCGUGCUAGAUCUUCCUUGAAAGGGAACACCACCUUAAACACAUUCUCAGAAAUUGCAAUAGGCUCCCAACGGAAAGUUGACGACACAAGAUCCCGAAGUUGUUGCACAACCUGAUCAACCGCCAUCUUUCCACUCGCAACAAUAACCAUACCAAUAAGAGCCGCAUCUGCCACAUGCACUGUUGUCGGCAAAGAUGGAGACUCAAAAAACAUAAGCUCCUCGGAACAGACUCCAUAAAUAGCCAUAAUGGGCAUCUGACCCGACAAAAGAGGACACACAGAAGCUCCGUGAACGGGUUUGAGAAAGAACUCAAAUAAAUUCGCCGAGCAUUCAGACACAAAAUGACCGUUCUCUCCACAAUGAUAACAAGUCAUUUUUUCCUUCUUUCGUGCCCACUUAGUUGGGCGAUCCCCCCCUCCAGCUUGGAUAGUGUGCUACUUUUGUCCGACAUAGCCACCACAUCAGCAGCUUAACCCUGUGGUGGAGGGGGAGAAAUAGAGGGCACCGCAGGCAGCUCCUGUCGAUGCUCGGCAGCAGCCCCAGAGGAAGUCUCAGGCGGCACCGGAGGACGGGGGUUCCUGCCACCCCCACGACCUCCCCACCUCUGUCGGAAGCCUCCCCUCUUAGGACCAGCCGGCCCCGACACAAACUUCCCGGGAGGACCCGAGAAACCCUGACCAUUGCCAGCAUUGGUCUGCCAGGCAUAACCACGAUCCCCGCCAUACGAAGAAGAACCUCUGUGCUGGCCAGCUCCAUAUGCAUUCACAUCAUCAUCGCCCCACCUCCCUCGCGUCUGGAACCUGUUCACAUCCUCCCCAGCCAGCGAUCCGGCGGCCACAGGAGGCACCUCCGGCUUGGCAGCAAUGAUUUGAUGCGGUCUGGGACCCUGACCUGCUGCCUUGCCGGUCCCCAGAUUCUUUCCCUGACCGCCAGCCGCAGCAACCUGUCUCGACGGCAGCUUCGCCAUCGGCGCUCCCCUCCCGGCCAUGGCAGCAGCGCUACAAUGAGGAGGGACACGGGGCGCACGACCAGGACCCAAAUGAGGAAAACCAACCCUAGGAAAUCUCUUGUUCGCGGUAGAUAAUACAGGGCAGGAAUCCGCGUGACAAGAAAUCCUGUGUACCUCGUGCACAACAACAGCAGACUGGGCCAGCCCCAGCCCAAGAAAGCCAACGUGAGGCUGAACCCUAGGAAUCGGUAAGUUCACGCCCAGGAUGGACUCCUCCUGGGGAUAAGCUAACGCAAGGCAACCCGAGGGCAUCUUGAGCUGGGCCGUAUACCCAGCCAAUUGAGAGCCCGUCGAAUUUGCCAGCACCUCAGGCCCAGCCGCCGCCACAGCGGCAUUCAAAAAAUUCGCCCUGGAAUCACGCGUAGACUGCUCGAUCGCCGCCGACCCUGACGGCUGAACAACGCUAGGAACCUUCUUCUUGUUCUUGGUACGAGUGAUCCAACAAUUCGGCGUGAAGUAAUCAGAUAAAGAAAGUGGAGUACGAAUUACCUUAGGAAUCGGCCCAACCCAUGGCUUCCGAGGAGGCGCCUCCAUCUUCUUCUGUGCAAGGAUAGGAUCGUGCCGCAUCUUGCGCUCCUGCAGCAACGCCGUCGACGGUGACAUGAUCGACGGGGAUGGCACAACCGGCGUCAGCUCCUCCGCCAGCUCGUCGCCAUGCACAUCGUCCAGCACGACAUCCUUGCGAUGUGAUACACACGUCCUGACCACCGAUGACGAAACUGGCGGCACCUCUGGUUGGAGCAAGUCCACGCCGUCCGCAUCUUCAUCAUCCUCGUGAUCUGCAAGAACCCAAAAACGGCCGCCAAAACGAAUCGGACUAGACGAAAGAUCGACGCAUACCGUAUCCUGGUCGAUCUUCUUUUGUGGCGACGCAAUUGCCUUCGUAGGAGAUGAAAUCCGUCAAUGUCGAGCACCUCCCCAACAUGUGGGUAUUCAUUCUCGUGCAGAUAUCUCCCUGCAAGAAUAUCAUCAUGGACAUCCCGAAUGGUGAUCCAACGCGAAGGCAAGUGGAGACAAAUAGAUCCCUGGAUGAGUUUUGCAUCACUCAGAAUGGAGUCAGCAAACUCGACGUCCCAUCGACGGUAAGGUGAAACCUCCGGCACGGGCCCUGCACGAAGGGUCUCACAGCGCGAGUCUCCCGCAUAGAUCACGCCUUGCGCCGACGAGGUGACUUCGUCUACCACCUCCGUCGCAUCAACCACCGGAGCGCUAGAAAUCCCAGCGGGCACGCUAGGUGUACUGGGUUGUGCAGGAUCUAGCGGCGGCGUCGCCGCGCCGGACGCCCCGCUCAUCGCCCCUUUAGUCGACCCGCCUGGACCAUCACCCCUCGCGAUCUGAAUCAAUGGCGGCUGUAGAGACAAUAGAGGAUCUGGCGGCGGAGCCACCGCGUCAAUCACCCGGCUCGUCGCCCCGCCCGACGCCCCGUCCGGAUCGCCACCUAACAUUCGAACCGUACCCUAAAAAAUGGGCCCGGAUCACCUCAAUGAUCUUGUCCCAUGACAUCCAACGUACCUUUCUCUUUCCCUUCUGUGAUCCCCAUAAAAAAUACCGAACUAAACUCGAGAGAUCAUCACACACGAACGUCGGUAGUUUGAACACACUCAUGAUAUAUGUCAACAUUACCUGCACGGUUGACUUUAUGGAAACCCCUUUCCCCAUAUUAAAAUUUGUUGUGUGCGUCUUUCUUGCAGGUUUUAGAUUUUCCUUUAUGCAUCCUUCCAUCACGUGUGGGAAGACCAAAAUACUUUGCCUCGAAUUCAUUGUCAACAACCUCCGAUACUUGCAUGGCGUUCUGCCAUAUGGCAUCCGGACAACUCUUUCCAAAUUGUACAGAACACUUUUGAGGGUUGAUGUGCUGCCGGAUUGCUUGUGCAUGACUCGCGAUGACCCCCUUACACGGAUUGCUUAUGCAUGGUUCGCUAUGAAAAAACGUCAUCCGUCAAGAGAAAUGCUUUGGUGUAGAUUUCUACCAUCUCCUUAAGACAGUGAGGUUGAGAUCUCUUGUCAUGUCAAGGUGCUUUAGGUCAAUUAAGUUCAACGACUGCGGCUUCAUGACGUUGGUUCUUAGAUGCACAUCUGCGAAUACUUCCCGGCCUGGUCAAACCGACAUCGAUAGGGGAGCAAUGACAGAGGCGUGUCAACGGCUACGGCGCAGUGCUAGUUCAUUGGUCUAGAAAUCUCCAUAUAUAUUUUCGAGAGUAGAUCAAUUGUGUAUCAUAUUUUUAUAAAAGAGAGCAAAGACAAUUUACAAGAAACCUAAAGUAGAUGCGAAUAUCUACUCCCGGCAACGUCCGGUAACAACCAACAGACAAACCUAAAGCCUACUCUCUCACAAAACAAAUGUGCUAAACCACCAACACCCACUUCGGCUCGCCUCCGGUCAUGAACUUGCCAUAGAAUGGCAUCCACUAGCUCGUGAGGCGUCAUCUGUUGGUGGACCCUGUUGAAAAUCCGAGCAUUACGAUGCUUCCACACACACAGCCCCCACAAUAGCAAUGACAAGUGUGUCGAACCCUCUUUUGCUCUCCUUGGAUGGUGGACCUUGUGGACUCCACGCGUUGGUCGGCGGAUCUUUUUAGAAAAUCCACCACAUCCGCAUCCGUUUGAUCGGGGCUAUCCAGUAGUCCGACCCCUUUCUCAUCGUUGCAGUAGACCUUCUGUUACAGAAACAUUUGUGACGUUUUGUUGUAAAGUUUUUUUUUGUCUGAACUUUUUUGAAACAUGAGUUUCGUGGUGGAAGAAAUUUUGCAACACAAAUGAUGUUGUAAAAAAUAUAUCUUUACUUUUUAUCAACAUGGAUGUUGUUGUGAAAAGAUUUCAGCAACACGGAUGAUGUUGCAGAACUUUUUUGUCUUAACUUUCGUGUAACAUAGGCAUCGUUGUGAAAGCACUUCUGCAGCACAAAAAAUGUUAAUGAAAAAAAUAUAAGUGACAAAAGCACACGGGUCUAGUCAUGGAGGCCUUGGCUGAUUGUGCGCCGGCUGAUCAAAUUUGUAUCUAACGGUUGCGCAUGCAGCGGGAGUAUACGCGCGAUCUUUUUUGCUUGAUAAUAUGUGUCUCAUUUAUAUUGUAAAGAUCAAAAUACAAAUCAUAUAAAAAUUGAUAUAACAAAACUGAAAAGAUAGAAGGACAUAUGUGAGUUUGACACUAGAGUUCGUCACCUGUCUUUGCCACCAUCACAACAGCCAUCAAAGAAAAGAAUGACGAAUCACCUCCUCACCCGAACUCGACGCGGCUCCAUCACUGGUAUACAUCUUUGCGGACCUACAAGGUUGCUCACCAAAAAUAAAGCACUUGACGUUGAACAAAUCAGACCGGAGUAACACCCUGGACACGCCAUCGAACUGUAAAUCUGACAUCCCACCACGAUUAAGACGUCAAAUGAGGAAACCAUACCUGGCAUCCACUAACCACGAACCCAGAACACAUUAUGUCCUUCAGAUAUCGUCGAUGCAGACCACAAUCUGCAUCCGCUCCUGGACUACCUCCCAAGCUCCGUGCCGACGUUGGAGCAAACGUCGACGAAACCCGAGGACACUGGUCUACCAGGAGGAUGCCGCCGCCACGCCAUCUUGCUAUGGCUGACUCUAUUUUUUUUUCAUUUUUUAUACUCUAUUACUCCGUUCCAAAAUAUAAGGCCUUUUAGGUAUUUCACUAGAAGACUACGUACAGAGCAAAAAUGAGUGAAUCUAUACUUUAAAAUAUGUCUAUGUACAUCCGUAUGUAUUAGGAACGGAGGAAGUAGAUAAGGCUACGAUGCUUUUUUUUGGAAAAAAUUCUACUACGGCCCAAACCAAUUCUUCCACCUGGUCAUCGUUUUCCUCCCCGUCCCUCGCGUGCCGCCGCGUCGGCAUCCGGCGGCCGCGAGGCCACUCGCCAUCGGGAGGAUCACUGUCCCAAAACCACUGUCGCGCGGCACGACGCAGCAACACGCGCCCACCACCCUGCUGUGUGCUGUCUGACCGCCGAACCACCAUUCCACGGACGUGGACGUCGCCAGCGGUGACACGGCACGGCACGCACGCACGCACGCACGCGCCUCCGCAACAACCACUCUCACUCCACGCGGCCUCCCGACCCUCCUCCUCCUCCCACGAGCACCACCACCCACCCAAGCAGCAGCAGCAGCAGCNNNNNNNNNNNNNNNNNNNNNNNNNNNNNNNNNNNNNNNNNNNNNNNNNNNNNNNNNNNNNNNNNNNNNNNNNNNNNNNNNNNNNNNNNNNNNNNNNNNNNNNNNNNNNNNNNNNNNNNNNNNNNNNNNNNNNNNNNNNNNNNNNNNNNNNNNNNNNNNNNNNNNNNNNNNNNNNNNNNNNNNNNNNNNNNNNNNNNNNNNNNNNNNNNNNNNNNNNNNNNNNNNNNNNNNNNNNNNNNNNNNNNNNNNNNNNNNNNNNNNNNNNNNNNNNNNNNNNNNNNNNNNNNNNNNNCAGCAGCAGCAGCAGCAGGAGGACGCGCGCGGCCGAGCCAGGCAGGCAGGGCGGCGGCAGAUCGAUGGCGGCCGCGGCGGAGGGGGAGGGGGAGGUGAGGAGGGACAUGUGGGGGCAGGAGUACCGGACGGCCUCCGCGGACUGCGCGGCGGCGCUGGACGACUACUACGCGCAGACCAUGGCGUUCGGCCGCGGCCGCGGGCCCGCCGCGCNGCGCUGCACGCCGCGCACUUCGUCGGCCCGCGCGACCGCGCCGCCGCCGCCGCCUUCCUCGCCGCCGCCGCCGCCAGCCUCGUAAGCAACCGACUGCCUCGGGUCCGCUCCUUUCCCCAUUCCGAAUCCUCCCUUGACUUUCGGUGCGCUCGCCUGCUUCCACAAGGGCAAGGCGACGGAGUACGAGAGGGCGCUGUUCCGGGCGCUCUCCGCGCUCGUCGGCGAGGACAGGGACACGGAGGUGGCCGUCGACCGGCAUUUCCAGGUUCGCUCUCGCGGCGCCUUUCAUCUGAUUUCUCCUGCCGAUCUGGGAGCGAGCCACAAAGUUGACUGGUGAAACUGAACGGCGUCCUUGCUCGUGUGUGGCAGCUGCUCAGGGAGUUCCCCAGGGAUCUCAUGUCCCUCAGGAGAGCGCAGCUCAUCUGCUUCUAUGUCGGACGGCCGGACACAUCCCUCGAAUUUGUUCAACAAGUAAGCUGACAAUUUACCACAAGAGGUCUGGUUUUUAUGCUUACAGUUUUCAUAUUUAGGAUUUAACCCAGGGAUAGCAAUGCCGUUUCUUUUGUGCAUUGGGUGCGCUUGUGUGAAACAUUUCUUAGCAACACCCACUGAAACUUUCAGUGAAAUAAAAUCUAGUGAUUUCUCAAAGGAGUUGUAUGCCUGCUGUUUUCUAGCAUCAGGGUAGGUAGCCCACUGAAUGAAACCCGAUGACAGUGUAACAGCAUUUGUUACCAUAUUCAUAUUCACUAGAAAUGCAGAAACUUUAAAUAGAGCAGCUACUCUUAUGAAAAUGCUACUGUACAAAUGAAGAAACUCUUUCUGACUAAUUGAAUGCCGCUCGUUGCUGAUCAGGUUUUGCCGGAGAACCAAGAUCGGAACUAUGUAUACGGCAUGCUCGCUUUCCCUUUGCUGGAGCUCGGAAGAAUGGACGAGGCUGAGAUUGCUGCUCGGAAAGGCUUGGCUAUAAACAAGAACGACUUCUGGUCACAGCAUAAUGUAUGUUGAUGAGUUGUUGUUUGGCUAUAUUUGGCUUUAGUGAUUACAUCUAGUUGCUGACUUGUAAGUGAUAUGAACCUUAUAUACCUGGUGACAUGGGUAUUUUGUAAAUUGGUCACAGAAUUAGCCUGCUGAAUAAUACUAGAAUCAAGUGUUCUUUUUAAUCUUGUUCAAGCUAGGUACGUGUGUAAAGAAAUAGCUUUCCACGCAUGAGUACUUCGAGGUAUGGAAUAUACAGAGAAGCAGUGUUUAGACUUGCUAACUUAGAACAAAUUACCACUAACAAAAAUAAUGGUUGUUGAGAACUUGAGAUGGUUAAAUAAAUUAUAAACCAUGAACUAAACUAAAACUAUGCAAUAUGAUAGAGAUCAGACUGUGUUAAUCAAGAUGUUAAAAUCUUACUCUAGGCUAGGGUCACUUGACAGUUUCAACCAAAAUGAAUCCAAUAGCAAUUAGCACCUAUACUGCCACUUUAAUGCUCUGCUCCUUUCAUGAGUCCUUCGCCUUAAUUACCGCUGGAAAGUCUUUCAUACUUAGCACAGAUGUCCUAAUAAAUCUGAACGCCAGGCUCACGUCUAUGGUUAAAUAGUCAAUAACCAUCCAGGGCUGAUUACUAGCUGAUUAAAACAGUUGACCUAUCCAUAAGUCUUAAGUUACAUUUAAAUCCGAUGCCAGGGAACAAAAUGGUUUACGCCCUACUUGAUCGAGAUGUACUCGUGGCAUCGUUUAGGAUGACUAGAAGGCAUCACGACCCUGGAUAACUUAUAGGGGAGGGAUGCGUUGCACAGCACCAAGGAUUGGUAGUGUAGAGGCUUUGUGCUGUCCUGCAAACCCUGCCAAGUGAGGUUUUUCUUGCAGGCUCUGCACAUAUACCCAAGUAGUUCUUGGACUGUUCCUGUUUUUGAGAAAAGGCCUAUGGCCCAGCUUUUCAUUCAAAACUGUUUCAAUGUUUAGAGUACUUGGACUGAUCCACUAAGAUCUGGACAAAUAUGGCACAAUCAGUUUCAUUUAGCUUAGUCAGUGAGGUCAUUCAGAUGCUAUGCCUUUUUUCUCUUAACGUUGAUCCUUUGUAUUCCAUGUCCUUGCAUUUUCAUUUACUUGGAAGACAUGAUAGUAAAUACUUUCUUUGCAAAAGGAAAGCCAUGAUAUUUUUUUUGCUAUGGUGGGGGUAUGUGAUAUGUCUGUAUGUUCUUACUGAAUUCUCCUCAUGCAAGGGCUGUUAAAUUAAGAUAACUUAACUUAGCAUAUGAGUUUCACUAGCUGACCUGUGCAUAUUGAAGUAACACAACAUUCUUUAAUAUAAGCUACAUCCUACAUUCUAUCUUGCAGAUGUGCCAUGUUUUUCAGCAGGAAUGUCGCUUCAGAGAAGCUACUGAGUUCAUGGAAUCAUGUUCUCCAUCAUGGACAGCAUGCUCAUCAUUUAUGUAUGCAGCUCUCCACUUGAUACCAUUUCUAGUGGUGCAAAUAAAAAAGCAGGAAUGUAAUUUCUUAUAAAAUAUGUUCCCUUCUUUCUUGUAGGUUUACCCACAACUGGUGGCAUGUGGCAGUCUGUUACUUGGAAGGCGAAGCCCCUAUUAGGAAAGUUAUGGAGGUAUAUGAUCAAAACAUCAUGAAGGAACUCGAUAGAAGUGAUUGUGAGCCAGCCGAGGUAUUAUAUUGUUAUUGGUGUUCAGUUUUCCUAAUAUUGAUGUCUGAGACACUGAAUAAUUUCUCAUGCCUUCAGGUGUACCUGAAUGCUCUCGGUUUGCUACUCCGUUUAUAUGUGCGUGGUGAGACAGGCCUAGCCAAAGAGAGGCUAACAACAUUGCUAGAUGAUCUUAAGAAUGAGGUACUACUGGAAACAUCUUUUAUAUCCAUUAGAAGAUGUAGACUUUACUGUGCUGCCUAUUCUCAAGAGCAUUUUAAGAUACAUAAAGCUAUAAGAGAUCCAUUCUUCUGACUAUCCAGUUUGAACUUUGCCCAGUCCAUUUGGCAUGCGGAAUGGCUCCUUGAUUUACUUAUAUUAUGGGCAUUAUCAAACAUGAAUGAAAUUAAAGCAGCAGAAAAUCUGCUGACCUCAGUACGAUCAAGGUCUGGUAUCUGAAUAGUUCUCUUUUAUUGGAAACAUAAGACUGUCAUAUUACAAGUGUUCUCAGUAUUUGUUUUCUUUUUUCCUUCAGAGUCUCUUCAAUGGACACGAAAAGACAGCAAGUGAUGCACAAGGCAAUUCAGGUGUGCUCAAUUCUUUGUUCAAGGUGAAAUGCUAUUGGAGAGAUACCACAUAUAGAGUGCAAUCAAUACUAAGAGAACGUUAACAGUAUGAAGCAAAAAAAAAAACACUAAAAGUGGAAUGCUCAAUUUUUGUUCUUGAAUAUCACUGCAACAUUUUCUUGCUUGUCUAUUGUAUCACUCGUUCUCAGUGAUAAUAUCACAAAUUUUUGCCAGGGAAGUUGAUCAAUUUUUUGCUGCCGUUUGUUGUUUUCUUUGAUACAGCUAGCAGAUGCUGUUUAUAAAUAUGGAAAAGGAGAGCACAAGGCGGUGUUUGACACCCUGGGUCCAGAUUUCGAUGGGCUUAGCUAUAAAGUAGGAUCACCGAACCUAGUGUUUCAAGACAAGUAAUUAUGAAUUUGCUUUUACUGAAUAUCAAUGAAUGGUACAAUUAGAUGAUUGGCGCAUCGGAUGAACAAGUGGACGUCUUCAAUGAAGUUUGGUACACUGUCUUAUUAAAUGCUGGAGAGACGUCUACAGGUAUUUGGUCCCCAAUGCUUGAAAAAAAAGUACUCUGGUACUUUUUGUUGCUCUUUAUGUGAGGAGUGAGCUAACACAAUUUGGAUGGUGCACAGCAAUUGAGCUGCUCGUCAAACAAAUCAGCAAACGACAGGGCGCGCCUUUCUUGUGGCGCUUGCUGGUAGAGUGCUUUUGCAACCACGUUGCUUUCUUUCCAUUUUGUACAUUGUAUUCUCACUGCUGUCUCUUAACUGAUUUACUACUAAAGAUUGGGAAACUGUCAACCAAAAUACACCAUCUGUAAACUCAUGAGCUGAUAGCGUUACAAAACAAUGAAUAAACUUUGCAUGCACCAACUGCAUCAAUCCACCAAACUGGUCGAGACUUUUAUCUGAAAUUUAGAACUUGAUAUGGCUCAUAAGAUGAUUUAUCUUUUUGGACACUCCAUUGAAGCUGCUGUGUCUUGAAGGCAGGGGACACCCUGAUCGCAAAUUGUCUAUGAAAAUUGGUCGACUCACAUGAACACAAUUGAAUCUACUACUAACAAUUCAUUUGAUGUUGUCGCCUCUAGCAAUUAUGCACUCAUACCUUAUGAAAGCCGUAGCUGUCUUGCAUUGGCAAUUAAUGGUUUUAUUAUGCGAAACGGGACUACGAGGUGAAAAUCUUUGUUUGGUGUUUUUUUUUUUGCCAGGAGAAAGCAUACACGAUGGAGGGCAGAGGUGCAGACGCUUCAGUGGCUGCCGAGAAGGCAAAUGCUCUGCAAGCUGCUCAUUUUCAUUAGCUUGUUUUGUGCAACAGCGGAAGGUGAUUUAUUUUGUACUUGUUGAUGUAUGUAUGGGUGUAGCUAUUGUUACUGGUACGCACACACGAUGGAAAUUGUCUAAUAAUAAGAAAUUUUUCUUGGUACACAACCAGAAAUAGUUUACAGAUUUCGAUGCAAAUUUAAGGUAGAUAUAAGAAGUUACCCUUCAAUCAAAAGGGUAAUAUUAUCUUUUGCAUCCAAAUCAAUCUAUUCUAUACGUUUGAUCUGCAGGCUAAUAUGGUUGAUGCCUUUUUAAGUAGCUUUAAGAUUUGUGUAAACUUUUAAAGAGGGGAAAUACCGAAGCAAAACUCAAUAAUAAAUUGUAAAGAUACUGGGUUAGCUUCUGAAAGAUUGGAGACUGCUUCUAUUGCAGUUCAGUUGGUACUGUAUUCAAGAAAGAAUCGGUAAUCUUUUCGAGAAUUGGGCACGCUUAGGGGUGGCUCUAGGGAUCCUCUAUAAGCUUGGAGGUGCAGGUGUGAAAGAAUGCCGUAUGAACAUUUUUUUAGUCAGGUGUGGAAGAACGCCGUAUGAACUUUUUCUUUUGAAUUAUUUUUGAAACUUUUAAAUAUUGUUUAUUAUUAUUAUUAUUUUUAAAAAACGAGCAUCAUAAAUCCGCGCUCCAACCUGUCUAGGCUUGUAGCCUCGUAGGCAAUCUUAGAGGUAGCAAGUAGUCACACUGUGGAUCCUCUUAGGUGAUAUGUUUUAGGUGCCACUGCUGGAGAUGCUUGCUCUCACCGACCUGAGGUGGGUGAGGCUGUUUAUUUUUUUGCAGUAAAACAGUUAAGAAAAGCAGCGGGUUGGAGGAGAUUGUUGUGUCCUGAUGCCAGGCAACUAAAAUAGGCUUGUAUAUUCUCAAUGAAAAUUGCUGCUAUACCCUUUUUGGUUCAUCUAGAUAGCUACUAGUUGUUCUGUUUGUUUAGAUCAAGGACCCUGAUAAGUGCCGCAUGUGUGGCAUGAAUCAAAUCCGUCCUGACAUUUUUUGAUGGUAAGUUUAGUUAUCUGAGGAUGUCAACUUCAGUUAUGAAACAAUGGUAAUUUUCUGUUUUGAUGGCAAGUUUGAAUUUUUUUUGUCUUUCUUCUUUUGGAUGGCAAUUUUAGCUGUAAAACCGUCGGGGCGGUGUUAUUUCGUGCCACACGGUUAUCAUUUGGGUUACAUCAAAGGAGAAUGUCAAACAAGCUUGAUGGUCAAGUUGUUAAAAUGGCGCAAUAGCAUGAACCUACCAAGCGAGAGAGACUUUCAUGUAAGCUCGAUCUUUGAGAUGGGUCCAAAGAUUAAUUAAGGAUACAUCACGUACUCACUCGACUCGCCCCUUUCCAUCGGGCAAGGUCGAAUGGAGAAGUAUCUAUCCAUGUUUAUUAGACAAAUGCAACAUCUAGUGCUUCUCAAUAAUUACAAAUUACACAUGUUGAGGUCCUAGGCCUUUCAUUGUUCAGCAACAAUAGAAACGUGUACGCACGAAGUAGACAAUGUGUCUCCGAGGAAUAAGAACAAGAGCAUUGAUAUGCAUACAGUGGAAAGCAAAGGGAAGGCAAAUGCUCUGCAAGCUGUUCAUUUUCAUUAGCUUGUUAAGGUGAUUUAUUUUGUACUUGUUGAUGUAUGUAUGGGUGUAACUAUUGUUGCUGGUACGCACUCACGAUGAAAGUUGUCUCGUAAUAAAGAACUUUGCUCCGGUACAUCCCCGGGAAAGUUUACAAAUUUUGAUGAAAAUUAAAGGUGGAGAUUAGGAGUUAUCGCUUCAGUCAAAAAGGGUAAUAUGUUGUUUUGUUUCCAAAUCAAUCUGUUCAAUAUGUUUGAUCAGCAGGCUAAUAUGACGAUAGCCUUUUUAAGUAACUUCGUUGAAGAAUCGUGUAAACUUUUAAGAGGGGGCAUACAGAAGCAAAAGUCACCAAUAAUUAAGGUUGGAGCCUGCUUCAUAGCUUAGAGGUGCCUCUACACAAUUUUAGUCAGCGUCAAAGCUUACUGAUAUGCUUGGCAUCAAAGCAACAAUUUUUGUCAGGUGUGGAAGAACGCCNNNNNNNNNNNNNNNNNNNNNNNNNNNNNNNNNNNNNNNNNNNNNNNNNNNNNNNNNNNNNNNNNNNNNNNNNNNNNNNNNNNNNNNNNNNNNNNNNNNNNNNNNNNNNNNNNNNNNNNNNNNNNNNNNNNNNNNNNNNNNNNNNNNNNNNNNNNNNNNNNNNNNNNNNNNNNNNNNNNNNNNNNNNNNNNNNNNNNNNNNNNNNNNNNNNNNNNNNNNNNNNNNNNNNNNNNNNNNNNNNNNNNNNNNNNNNNNNNNNNNNNNNNNNNNNCAGGUGUGGAAGAACGCCACAUGAACAUUUGAGUCAGCAAAAACUGUUCGAGGCGGCCCCUAAGCUUAGAGAUACCUCUAAGAAAUUUUCAAUGAAUGCCAGACAACUAAAAUAGGCAUCUAUAUUUUCAAUGAAAAUUACUACUAUACCCUUUUUUAAUGAUUGCUGGUUGUUCUCUUCAUUUAGACGAAGGAGAACGUGGAACAAGCUUGAGGGUUAAGUUGUUAAAAUGACGCCUUAACAUGAGCCUAAGAGAGAUAGAGAGAGAGAGGGAGAGGGAGGGGGAGGACGAGGGGGANAGGGAGGGAGGGAGGGAGAGAGAGGGAGAGAGGGAGGGAGGGAGGGAGGGAGAGAGAGAGUUUCAUGUAAGCUCAAUCUUCGAGAUGGGUUCAAAGACUAACUAAGGACAAGCUACACACUCACUCGACUCGCCCCUUUUCAUCGGGCAAGGUCGAAUGGAGAAGUAUCUAUCCAUGUUUAUCAGAAAAAUGCAAUAUCCAACAUUUCUCAAUAAUUACGAAAUGCGUAUGGCGAGGCCCUAGGCCUUUCAUUAUUCGUCCACAAUAAAACGUGUACUACAUACUACGAAGUAGACAAUGAGUCCCCAUAAGAUAAGGACAAGUGCAUUGCUAUGCGUGCGAUUCUUACUGUAUGAUUUCACUACGACAUUGCUUAAGAGCCCUUCACCAGAUCGAUUUCCAUGUGCCAUUGCCGUCGAUCAUGACAUCGUACAUGACUCCGGUGUGGAAUCCAUUUCGCAAGGACAAGUUCACUCAUGACAUCGUACAAGACCCCACUCACUCAUGUUCAUCCGAUUGAAUGGAGUAGUAUCUAUCAAAACCACCAGCUCAACCUUUCUUAAUGGGUCCAAAAAUUCGUAAUUGAUCGCACGAGGCAUUUCAUCGAUUGGCAACGGUACAAGAUGCACAUACGCAGUACGAAUUGACAACACUAGUGUAAGUAUGUAAAGUAGACAAGGACCCUACAAGAUAUACAUCCAAUGAACCAGUAAUCCUCCAAAUUAUCAAGCAUUCAAGCAUCGAUAUUAUGUAUCAAGCAAAUGAAGCAUCGCUAUUAGGCACAUUUGUUUUGUGAGGAACUACUCUUAUCCAAGAUAUUUUGCGUAUGGUAAGGGCUAGAGCCAUGAUCCGAUGGCCUAGACUUAGCCAAGUGGACCAAUCAAAGAGUUGUAUCCCCAUGGACUUCUAUAUAUAAGGAUGCCUUUCUUGCUUAGGAAGACCGCGAGUGUUGUGGAGAUGGGUGACAUCCAGAGUGGCAGGCGAGCAGUUAUCAUGGGAAUAGGCACAGCUGUGCCACCCAAUGUGCUGCAGCAGAGCUCCUUCCCAGACUACUAUUUUGAGAUAACAAAUAGUAAUCACAUGGUGGAUCUCAAGGCCAAGUUCACAAAAUUAUGUAGGUUUGCCCUGCCUAGCUUACAUGUACAAAUUGAAUGUGAAAGGGUUCAUAUGUAUGGUAAUCUUGGUUUCGGGAUGUCCGUAAACCACUUAAUUCGCUGGUUUUUGCUUCAGUUUAUUGCAAUGGUUUUUUACUUUCAGCGACUUUUCGAUGAAUUUUACUGAAUUUUAGUAGACAUUGAAAUAUUUAACCUUGGGUCAAAAUAUUUCAGUCAUUUCAAUUGUAGAGAAGACUCGUUUUUUAAAAAAAUUGUCAAAAAAUAAUAGUUUCAAGUGGACGCUCCGUCUGUCCUUUGGCCGAAAUGAAACCCAAAAUCAUCGAAAUUGACUGAAAUUCGGUAAUUUUGGUGUAGAAACCAUUUGUAUCUACACCUAGUGCAUCUCGAAGCUACAUAUAUAGCCACUCAAAUAUAAGUUAAUUCAACCUUUUCAGGUGAGAAUACAAAGAUUGAGAAGCGACCGACGAGUUCGUUAGGAACAACCCAUCACUCACCGCCUACAAGUCUCCAUCACUUAACCUUCGUCAAGAGCUCGCGGAUGCAACCGUGCCGCAGCUUGGUGCGGAAGCUGCGCAGAAUGCCAUCGCUGACUGGGGCCGGCACGUGUCUGAUGUCACGCACCUGGUCUUCUGCACAAUGGUGAGUGGAAGCAUGCCUGGUGCUGACUUCGAGCUUGUGAAGCUCCUCGGUCUCCCGCUCUCCACCCGACGAUUCAUGAUGUACCAAGCUGGUUGCCAUGGUGGCGGCAUCUCCCUGCCCCUGGCAAAGGACCUUGCCGAAAACAAUCCUGGCGCUCGGGUCCUGAUCGUGUGCUCCGAGGUGACCGCAAUGGCGUUUAGUGGCCCCUCCGAGUCCCACCUAGCUAGGUAAUUUGGUCGGGCAGGCCAUCUUCGGCGACGCCGCUGGAGCGGUCGUUGUGGGAGCUGAUCCUGUUGGCCAAGAGAUCUAGGGCCAUGUUUGAGAUGGUGUCAGCGUCGCAACACCUUGUGCCGGGGACGGAGGAGAUGGUGCUGUCGAAGCUGUACGAGGAUGGGAUGGUGUUCACGCUGCAUCCGGGCGUGGCGCACCGGCCACGUCUCGAGCAACGUCGGUGCACUCGUGAAGAAGGCGUUGGAGCAUGCGGGGCUUGCCAAGGACUGGAACAAAGAGUUGUUCUGGCUGGUUCACCCCGGCGGCAGGGAGAUACGUACUGGAUCGGGUGGAGAGAAGGCUUGGAUUAAGGGAAGAAAAGAUGGAGGUGGCGAGGGAGGUGAUGAGGCAGCGCGGCAACACGCUAAGCUCAUCUGUCAUCGCCGUCAUGGACGAAAUGAGGCGGCGGUCGGAGGAGCGUGGGCUGCCGACGGCGGGAGAAGGGCUUGAGUGGGGGCUUCUCCUCAGCUUCGGACCUGGAAUCACCGUCGAAACCAUACUUCUCCGUGCUCCGCCGGUGCACAACUUAAUCAAUAACACAUAUGAUUAAGUGGACUUCUUUAUAGCAACGCCUUCAAAAAGGAUAAACGCCUUGCAUCAUCGUUCCUACGUCCAACUAGAGACGUAUGGACAAGGAUUUUCAUCCUGCUAGCUGAGACCAACCAAAAAAGACUAGCACAACAUCAAGUAGACAAUGCCUUCAAUAAGGUAAAAACGCGUUAUUGAGCCCGACCAAUGAAGACUAAGACAAGAGUUUUCACUUCAGACAUGAAGCAAUGUCCAAUCAACAUCUUCAAGAUUGCUCACUCCAUGCCAAGAAAAAAAUGCACUAGCAGAUUCCUACAACGUCUUCCUAAGUAACAUUCAUAAGAUAGUAUCAUUGUACACGUCCUAAAUAGCAAGACGUCGGUAGUUUACAACCCCAAUGAUGAGUGCACAUCCAUACGACACCCAACACAUGAACACUUACAUGGUAAUGCACCGAUCGCAAAACGAGGCCCCGUGCAACAUGCCCUCCGCCGGUGACUCGAGGUGCAGUCUGGUCGCGGUGAGCGGUUGUGGCCUGUGGACACGUUAGAGGCCGGAUGUGGUUACACCUCGCUCUAGCUCUAGCGCACCAUUCGUUAUAGGUUGUUCUAAACCAAAGAGCCGUAUGUCAUGGGAGGCAGACAUGGACGAACACUCCGCAUUCCGCGUCAACAUGGCUUUAAUAGUUGUGAUCUUUUUUGUCUCUGCUUAUCUUAGUGUAUCCUAAUUUUAUCUCGCAUUUUAUUCUUUGUUAAUUCCAAGAUGAAUGCAAACUUCCGAAGAUGGUGCGCCAGAGGAAACUUGAAUCAAACAUGUGAGGAAUCAUCGUGGAAACAAUUUAUUCCACAAUUGAUAGGUAUGUUAUAUAAUGUGGAUAUCUAAGCCUCUUGCAUGCCGAUAUUUCUCAGACCUCACAUUUUGUUUUCAAUUGCAUGGUUGUUUUUUCUUCUUUUUUGAAAAGGAGGUUAAAACCCCCAUUGCAGAGGCAUGAGUGAAUAAAUGUAUUCCAUUACAUGAAGCACAACGGACCACUGGAGAGCAACUGAGAUGUAACCAUUUUAUUCCCACGAUAUAUUGGUAGUCAACUAAAAAGGGCGCGAAACCAUCCUAUCAAAAGUCUGUUAUUCCUAUGCAGCAAGGAUAUAAAACUCUCUCUUCUAGACUGUUAUAAUGAUAUCUGGACCAAUCUAUCACACGGUGUAAGAUUGCUGAAUGGUGUCGAUGUCGAGGCCCUUGAGCUUCACAACCGACUCCACAUGCCCCUUGAGAGUGUGAAGCUCCCUGAGCCUGCCAUGUACCAUCACCAAUAAGCACAAAAUAGUUAGAUACAUAACUGUCAAGAAAUAUGGCAGCUCAUGGAAACCAUCCCAUACAUGGAAUUCUUUACAAGUGACUACGUACCUUGCAAUCUCAGCCCUCCGCUUCGCCUCCUCGGCCAUCUGAUUCAGCUCGUUGUAGCCCGCCUUCUCGGGGAACAGCUUGGCAUCCGGCGGCUGCAGCCCAUGGAGUGUCCUCUGUGCAUGGGCCCACUUGAGCUCCCUCUCUUCCUUACCAAAGUGCUUCUUCCUUGUAAACGCAAUCUAUGACGAAACAAAAUAUCAAAUGAACCCACCAGUUACAAAAUGCAUGGAAUGUAGUGGGCUCUCAGUAGCUGAAAUGGAAAGGAAAAAUAUGGCGAUGCAAAUUUGAGUUACUCUUUGGUUGAUGACAAGAUCCCAUGCUUUCCCGCUCAGAGCGUAUCGGAUGAAGAACUUGAUGAUGUCGAGUGGGAAGUAGAAGACGAGGUUGUAGAGCCACACGAUACCGGCCCAGCCCCACCCGAUGCCCUUGAUCGAAGUGAAUGCCCAAUCGGCGUAUACGGCGAUCAGUGUAGCUAUCUGCAUUUUUUGAAUAGGGUGGUGAAACUUGCCCACUGAAACUUGACUUGUGAAAAAGAGGAGGGUGAGGCGGUGAUGAGAAAAUACCAGCUGCGCGACAAAGAAAGCGAAGACCAGGAGAAAGCCGGGGCGCUCGAGGAACGACCAGCUUCGAGACCUUGUAACGAAGAUGAGAGCUUGGCUGAUGGUGCUGACUUGAAGGUAUACAGCAGAGGCAAGCAUUUUGUUGAAGUCAUCUUGAGCUGUCUUCUCAAGGCUUCUCACAUGAAAAACCCUCUGAAAUUUCCAUUGAGCAGCAACAUGAUAAGUCCAUUCAUAUCAAGAGGUAUUUUAUUUCAUUUUUUCAUUUCGGUACUCCUUACCGGGAAAAAGUUAGUCUUGUAUGCGGCCCAGAAGAAAAUGACAGUCAUCAUUGCCAAGUAUCCGCCAAGCACCACCCCAGUUGUGAAAAUUUCAGCCAACUUCCAGCUGUCAGGUAGUGGAGAAGGCUUUACUCGAUCCUUGGAUAUUGUCAUUAUGGUGCCUGUUCAUGCCACAAAAAUGGUUAAGGGCGAACAUUAUAAUAUUACUUUUUUACUUAGUACGGCGAUAUUCUGAGGCGCGGGACAAAUGGAAGGAAAAGAAGGUAAUGUACCAUCAUUCAGAAUUGCUAUGAUCAGGACCAUAAAUGGCGGGAAAUCAAACUCCCAUAUGAGCGCAAGUAGCAUAAAUCCAAGCUGUUGGGGGGUAAAUGGGAAUCAGAUGCAUACUCGCACAAUAAAAAUGUAAGGUUCAUCAACAUAAUUUUACAGAUCAUAAACUGGAAAAUCAGUGUUAAGAGGUAAAAAAACUCAUUAAAUGAAUAGUUACAAUUGACACCUAAGAGAAUCAUCAUCUAUGUAAAAAGAGCAGGAGCCAAUGCACUUUGGCAAACUUAUGGUCCUAGUAAGAGUCGAUCAAACAUACCACAAUACGUAUCGUAAUCGAGACCGCAUAGAUCUGCAAGCAUGAAGGUGGAUUAGCAUAUGGGCAAGAUAAUACAAGCAUAAAUGAAGGAAUAACUCUUCAAAUAAAUUGGGGGAGAAGAAAAAUCUCAUCCACUGGGUUCAAUCUGACAUACAGUGUAGUUCUUCAUCCGCUGGAAAAUUGCUCGACUGGUAAGGACGGCACUAAUGAUCACACUUAGACCAGGUUCCGUGAGUACGAUAUCAGAAGCGCUCCUCGCUGCAUCUGUCGCAUCGGCAACCGCUAUGCCAAUAUCAGCUUUCUUUAGGGCUGGUGCAUCGUUUACGCCAUCGCCGGUCAUUCCACAAAUGUGCUUCCGUGCUUGUAGGCGCUUCACAAUCUCAUAUUUGUGCUCUGAGCAAAUAACCAAUGUAACCGUCAUAUUAUUAUUGUUAUGUUAAUUUUUCAGCCCUUUGAUUUUAUUUUCUUCUAACUGAUUACAACACAUACCUGGGAAUACGCCAGCAAAACCAUCGGCUUUCUCAAUUAGAUCAUCGACCGGUAAAUCAGCAAUAGACUCAUCCUUGUUCUGCCCCAGCAAAGCAGAUGAAGGGUACAUGUUUGUACCCAUUCCUAGACGACGCCCUGUUUCCUUCCCAAUAGCUAGCUGGUCGCCUAAGGAAAAGAAAAAAAAAUGCACAAUCAGAUGUAUUACCAAAAUUCUUGAAAACUGAAAUUACAAAUAAAACAGGGUGAAAGAUACAGUAUAUGGUUCAGUGUUCCAAGUUCCAACCCUACUUAUGACAUUGCAAAUGAAAAAUAGUAAACAUCAAAGACAUGGUGCUCAUAAAAAUUGGGAGAUUUAAGGAUAAAGAGAGGAGAACAAAAUAUAAUUCAACUGGUAGUGCAUUUACCUGUGAUCAUCUUCAUUGGAUAUUUAAGAACAGAGCAAAAAAGUAGUUAAGAACCCAAUUGGCAGUGUACCUGUGAUCAUCUUCACAUUCACACCAAGGUUAAGUGCCCUUUCAAUUGUUUCCGCGCUGUCGUGCCUCGGUGGAUCAAAGAGUGGCAAGAGAGCAACAAAAUGCCACGGGCUACCGGGGCUCUCUUUCCUCCCAUCUGGCACGUCCUACAAGGCAGAAAAGGAUGACCACCACUAAGUUUCUUCAACCGAUUUAGAUGACGAGCUAAUAAUAGUCUAGGUGUAUAGACAUCGUAGCCUACUGUUGGUUUCAUCGGAUGUGUCAGUUUUUAUUUACUUAAGCACUUGUUUUCAUGCUCAGUUCGCGAGCACUUUGUAGAUCUAUGACUUUGUCCUUCAACUUUUUAAAUAAUAUGGCUGCAUGCACCAAUUGAUGCAGAGGUCGGGAGCUUCGUUCCUCCUUUUCCAAAGAAAAAAGGUUCCUGCCUUGCAAGCUUGAACUGCACUGUGAAAGGGGCACCACAAGAACAUUGCUCACCUGAUAUGCUACACCAAGUGACCGAAGUCCACGUUCCGCGAACUUGUCGAUGACAGUGUGGACUUUUUGUGCGAUCUCUGACUUGUUGUAGGCCAGGUUGAGAAUCUGCAGGUCAAUUUGUGAAAUCAAUUUACAUCAUUAUGCAAAUGAAAAUUUUGUUUUUAGGCUAUUUGCAGUAAAAAAAAUAUACCUGCUCUGGUGCACCUUUGCUAACACGGUACAUCUUUCCAUCGCCAUCGAUGUAUGUCAACGCAGUUCUUUUGUCGGUAGGGUUGAAUGGCAGAAAAUGAACCUCUUGAAUACCGGCACGCGCCUACGGGAAGCGUUGACAGGUGCCCAUUUUAGCGAAUAAACAUGAUAGUUGUACGUCUCAUUAUUCGACAAAUGAAAUGUACCUCUUUUGGAUCGCCUAGCAUCCCAACUAUUGCCGUAUCGAUGGCGUCUUGAUUUUCUAUCCGGGAUGCUCUAGCAGCCAUUAGAAUCACCUGGUCCUGAGUCACUCCUUUUUCAAAAACCUGGACCAAGAAAGUAUGUAAGUGCUUUGAGGUCACAUGUGAGAUAACACAAAGUGGGUGUUCAAGCGAACCUCGACUAGGUUCUUGUCCACACUGAGCUUAUUUAGAGUCAGGGUUCCAGUCUUAUCACUGCAAAGAACAUCCAUGCCGGCCAUCUCUUCAAUUGCAGUCAUCCUCUUUGUUAUAGCUCCCUGCAGGAAGAAAACUCAGGAAUUGAUUGCAUAUAUAGUGCAAAAGUUCAGGUCUGGUCACAAUAUGGUUAAGGGACACUGUCCCCGGAAUGAUGCAAACCUGCUGAGACAAGCGAUGAGACCCAAUCGCCAUGGUGACCGACAAGACUGUGGGCAUCGCUAUGGGAAUGCCUCCAAUGAGAAGCACCAAAAGGUUGUCGAUCCCGGGGCGGUACGCCCUGUGCUGGAUAGGAUACAUGACAAUGAUCUCGAUGAACAUUCCCACAGCAAUCGAGCAAAUGCAAAAGUUCCCAAUGGCCGUCAACACCUGCGUCAAUCACAUGAUAAUGAACACAUCAAUGUAGCGAUGGUUCAAAUCGAUAACGGUGCUAGAUCGAUAGAAAUAACUGAGGCUUGCCAAGCUUGCCUGUUGGAAAUGGCCAACUUGGUUGGUGGAGUCGACGAGAUGUGCGGCCUUUCCAAAGAAAGUGUGCACGCCAGUUGCUAUGACAACGGCCUCGAUCUCGCCCUGCUUGACCGUCGAACCGGAGUAGACGCCGUCACCAGGACCUUUGGUGGCUGGCAGCGAUUCUCCGGUCAGGGCAGACUAUAAACAGAAGACUAAACAGUGAGAUGAGGAAAUCUAUUUAACUUAAAAGGAAAGCUGAAGGUGACUUGAAUGUGAAGGACAGGAAGAACCUGAUCAAUCCUCAAAGGAUCACCAUCCAGGAGGCGGGCGUCGGCAGGGAUGAUAUCUCCAAGUUUGAUGCUGAUGAUGUCCCCGGGCACAAGGACGGCGGCCUCCUCCUCGGUCCAACGACCGUCACGGAGGACCUACCCAGCAACAUAAGAGUUGAGGUUCACAAGUUAAAAUGGACUCCGACAAGGUGACACAUACAAGCAGAAACAGGGGAAAUUAAAACCCCACAAAUUAAGUUGAAUAUGGACCUUGGCUUUUGGUGCAAGACGGGCCAUAAGCGCGGCGGCGGCAUUUCCGGCAUUGUUCUCCUCGAUGAAACUGAUGGUGGAGUUUAUAAGCAGCAGCGUGAUGAUACCGACGAAGUCUUGCCAAUCUGGUGGCUUCCCCUGGUGGUGACAGAACACAUCCCACAUAUAUAUUGAGAACAGAGCAGGACAUACAACAUCACUGAUCACCACACUAAAACAUUUUACUAUAAAUUCUGCGAUACUAUGUGCUAGGUCUUACCCCUCCGUUGGCCAGUGCGAUGGCCAUGAUCGCCGCAGCCUCCAUGACCCAUGAGAGGGGGUUCCACAUGAACCCUAGAAAUUUGAGGAGCUUGCUCUCCUGCAGCCAUCAACACACCAACUUAAUCAAGUGCAUAAUAUCAAUGAGAAGAACAAUAUUGAGGCAAAAAUCUUCCCCACAAUCAAAUGGGGAGAAUGAACCUGACCUCCUUCUCCUCUAGCUUGUUCGGGCCGAAGAUCUGCAGCCGCUGCUGCGCCUGCUCGGAAGUAAGCCCCUCAUGGCUACACCGCAGGUUCUCGAACACUUCGUCGAUCGGGAUGUGCUCCUGAAAUUUUGUUACGACGAUCGCUUUCAGCAAAUAAACCAAUCAAGUAGCAUUAGCAUGAGCAAAAUCUGAACGUGCAAGCAUGCUGCAGCCUGCUACUCCAAGGAACAAAGAAGAGAGGGAACCAAGACACAUUUUUUUUUUCCAAUUAAACAGAGGAUCAUGAGGACCAUUUCCCUCAAAAAAAAAAACAACAACAGAGGAUCAUGAGUACACGCUUUUUUCCCACGGUCAAGUCACCUUUGGUGAGAACAAAAAAUAUGUUGGACGACUAAAGCAUAAACAUCAAUCAGUAUUUCGAUCAAGAGAUUUUAAAACUGGAAACUAACUGCAAGCCCUGUAAGAAAAUAAUUAAAAACCAGACGAAGCACUCGUAGGUUGAUGAAGUGCGGAGUAGUUAAUUACCAGGUCGACGGCCUCCUUGAGGACGGCGUCGAGGCUGCCCUCCUGCUGCCUGCUCGCCAUGGCCGCCAUGGACGCACGCAGGCAGUGCACUGCACAGCCUCUGGAUCUUCACAGUUCGCACCAACUACUACUCUUCUUCUGGGACCCUCCUCUGCUCUUCUUCUUCCUCCUCCUUCGGAUUUAUCGAUUUAUUUAUAUGCACGUACGUACGUAUGGUCUUUGUUUUUGUGCGGGAGAGGGGGUGAUGGAUCGCCUGAUUCUGAAAUGGAUAGAGAGGUGGUGGGGUGUAGGAAGGGAUGGCUACCCACGUGUCGCGCAAGAGACAUGAGGAGAAGGGAAGGUGGUGGAAGGAACCAAGAAACCAACAAGGAACCGAAGACGGGAGGAGUGAGGGAAGGAACGUUGGUCUAUGGGUAUAUGUACACCUUAUAUAAAAAAAAUAUAAUAAUUAAAUAAAAAUAAAGAAAACUGAAAAUAUUUUUGAAAUAAACUUGACCUUGUAGUUGUAGAAAAAAACUAACACAAUGUUUUCUUGCCCUGAAGUCAAUGCUAGUUUCUUAUUUGUUUUUUUUACAUUGGAGGUCAGAUUAUAUAAACUGUAAUCCAUGUUUUACAUUGCAUAAUGACAUGUCUAUCCUUUGUUUUUUUUUUAAAAGAAUGUCGGUGGUAGGAAUGUAAUUAUCUCGAACUUUAUAAGGAUAAUAGGUCAUUAGCAAUCCAUAAUCUGGUUUUAGCUGGGGUUGAGUAGAUUAUGAGUUUUUAAUAAUCUGUUCAUCUAGUUUUUAUAAUCUACAUCAUAAUCUAUCUUGUUUAAAGAUAAAAUAGAUUAUAAAAACUGAAUCAUAUAAUCUAAGUGGUUCCAAUCAGGGCCUUACUAGUGCAAAAGAAAGUCAAACUCAUUCCAAAAAAGCUUCUAUUUUUUUGUAUAUAUGAAGUGUAUAUACAAUUAUGCAUCGAGAAACUAAAGGGAAUUCCUCAUGAGAGGAGCACAUAGUAAUAAAAGAGGGUAGGUGAUUCUCAAAUAAAAAUAAAAAUGAAAGAUGGUUGGUGGGUAAACUGGUGGCAGGCAGGGGGUCAUUUUUACAUGUUACUACAUGGUGAAAAAGGAUGCAUAUAGCUGGGUUAGUGGGAAAGCAAAGGGGCUUAUGUUGUGGCGUAAAGUUUGGGGCUCGAAAAUGUCUUGUUGCGAUCUAGGUAUGGUUGAUGUUCCAACCAACCGUUGCCCGCAUAAUAAUAGGCAAAAAAUAAAUUGGAGGAACCAGCACAUCUUCUAGUACUGCUCGAUUAAAAAGAGCAACAAAAUGUACAAAAUCUAGGUUUUUGAUAUAUAACUUGGAUAAGAUGCUGAGUGCCGCUCUUUUUUCUUGAAGGAGUCGAAGCUCUGCAUUUAUUAAUCUAACGCUGGCAUUACAAGAAAGCCCCUAAAAUAAAAAAGAAAUACUCGAGGAAUCUUCCUCCCUCGCCAUCCCACACAUGCCGACGGCGCGACGAUGUUGUUGCCGCUGGACUUCCAUGUUGAAGAACCCCCUCCUCCCCGUGUCGCUCCCGUGUGGCGACCGGGGNNNNNNNNNNNNNNNNNNNNNNNNNNNNNNNNNNNNNNNNNNNNNNNNNNNNNNNNNNNNNNNNNNNNNNNNNNNNNNNNNNNNNNNNNNNNNNNNNNNNNNNNNNNNNNNNNNNNNNNNNNNNNNNNNNNNNNNNNNNNNNNNNNNNNNNNNNNNNNNNNNNNNNNNNNNNNNNNNNNNNNNNNNNNNNNNNNNNNNNNNNNNNNNNNNNNNNNNNNNNNNNNNNNNNNNNNNNNNNNNNNNNNNNNNNNNNNNNNNNNNGGGGGGGGGGGGGGGGGGACCCUAUACGUCGGCUCCGAGCCUCCCCUCCUCCCUUCCCCCCCUCAUCGUCACCGGACCAUGCUGUCGGGCAAAGCCAGCCGACGCCGGUGGCAACGGGGCUCCUCUUCAUCCUGCUCGGAGACUGCUGGCGCGGGGCGACAAUGUUUGGUGGUGCUUCGUGGUGGUGAGGGGCGCGGAGGCACGCCAUCGGGCUCUAGCGAUGGGGGUAGCGAGGGCUUGGUGGCGACGCAAUGGGCUUCAUGGGGCAGCUCAUGCUCGUGGCUGCGGUGGCGGCCAGAUCUGGGCUCGACCAGAUCUAGCGGGUCUGCGGGUGCGGGCGGCGCGCGGCGCCUCGCCGGCGGGCGCGGGCCCUAUGGCUGCUGCGUGUGGCGCGGUGGUCGGGCUCGGGAUGGGCGCGCUUGCUGGUGGUGCGUGCUGGCAGAGCUCCAAUCGGGGCUCCCUAUUCCGGCCCUUGGACGAUGGCGAGCGGCGCGGGGUGGCUCUCUGGUGAGUGCUCUUGGCUGCGGGUGAAGGGUGGCUUCGUGCUCCUUGUCGGUGGCUGGGCGUGCUGUCGCUUGUGGCCUCGUGUCGAGCUGCGUUGGCCGUCACGGUGAGGCGACAUGGGGGUGUGUCCGGUGGGGAGUUUGUAGGAGGGAUGCGAGGGCCUGAUGUAGGGCCACCCAUCGCCGAUGCGGGGGUGCAUCGGGCCGGACACGUCCGCUCCUACACCCCUUUCCUCGGCCGUGUGCCCUCUGGCGAGGUUCUGGCAAUGUUCGAGGCAGGGCGGCAGCUUGCUGCUCCAUCGACGGGUGUUGCCAGUCAAGCCAAAGCCAAGCCCUUUGGGCAUUCAUGGAGUUGCUUGGAUGCAGGGCGGCGGCCCUAGCGGCGGGAGACGAGGUGUUCGUUGGCGGAGCACGCGCCUUGGAUGUGAUCGGGUAGCCAUGGUCACGCGGGUGGCAUGGUUGCUGAUGUUUGACGUAGCAUGGUUGUUUGGCGAAGGGUUAACACCAAAGUGCAUGACUUGCUCGGUCCUCUUCGGCCGACGGUGGUGGCGGGCACGGACGUCGUUUCCUUCGUGAAGGCUCCGUCAUGAUGUCCUCGGCUCUCUACGUUGCUCCGGGUGUAAACCUGAUCCUCGUGAUCAGGCGGUGGCGACUAUCAAUGUCGUGCCUUUUUUGAAGGCACUGUCUUGGAGUCCAUGCUUUGUCACUGUCCCGCUUCACUUUUCGGUGGCUAGGUGUCCUCGUCGGCCCCAAGUAGUUCCUUUUGUCUCAUCUGUAGUAUGCUUGAUGGUUGAUUGGGCAGUGUUACGGUGCAUCAGCACCCUCGUAUCUUGCCUUGGGUGUGCGUGUUGUAUGGGAUGAUGACGUGUUGUAUCUGAGUGUGUAUCUUUGAUCGCUGUUAUAUAUAUAAAACGAGACGAAAAGCCUUUUUUGAUAAAAAAUGUUGUUCGCCGGAACAGAAAAGCGGUAUGUACACAUGCAGUCGGAAAGUGUGAACG